rnacentral:lncRNA from 1 species
AUAGGAGAUAUAAGGGGUCUUGAUAUCAUUCAUCUUUCAUGGAAUAGUUUGACAGGAAGCAUUCUCUUAACCAUAAUCAAUUGCUCUUCCUUAAGAGUUCUAGACCUUGGAAACAACGACUUGUCCGGGAGAAUUCCAGAACAGAUGGGUCAGUUAAAGUGGCUUCAAUCUCUUCACAUGGAAAACAACAACCUUUCAGGAGGGCUGCCCUUAUCUUUCCAAAAUUUGUCUAGUUUGGAAACUCUUGAUCUCAGUUACAACAGAUUGUCAGGUAACAUCCCAACAUGGAUUGGAGCUGCUUUUAUGGGUCUUAAAAUCCUUAACUUGAGGUCGACUGGGUUCUCUGGCAGUCUUCCUUCUGAGCUUUCAUAUCUACGUUCAUUGCAUGUCCUGGACCUCUCACAAAAUAAUUUGACUGGUAGCAUUCCACCUACAUUGGGUGGCCUCAAAGCAAUGGCUCAAGAGAAAAAUAUAAACCAAUUUGUGUUAUAUGGGAGCUUUCAAGGCAGACGGUAUGGAGGGCAAUAUUAUGAAGAAAGCUUGGUUGUGAACAUGAAAGGACAACGUCUAGAAUAUACCAGAACUCUUUCCCUUGUUACCAGUAUAGACCUGUCUGACAAUAAUUUAAGUGGAGAGUUUCCAGAGGCAAUAACAGAAUUAUUUGGUUUGGUGGCUCUCAACCUGUCACGGAACCACAUUACUGGCCAAAUUCCUGAAAGCAUUUCAAGGUUGAAGGAAUUGUUAUCUCUUGAUCUAUCAAGCAAUAAACUCUUCGGCACAAUUCCUUCUAGCAUGGCUUCAUUAUCUUUUUUGGGUUCUUUGAAUCUGUCAAACAACAACUUCUCUGGUAAGAUUCCUUUUACAGGACAGAUGACAACUUUUGAUGAACUUGCCUUUGAUGGAAACCCAGGUCUCUGCGGAGCUCCUCUUGUUGAAAAAUGCCAAGAUGAGGAUUCUGAUAAAGAGCACAGCACUGGUACCGAUGAAAAUGACAAUCAUUUCAUUGAUCGGUGGUUUUAUUUGAGCGUCGGAUUAGGGUUUGCAGCAGGUAUUUUGGUUCCUUAUUUUGUUUUAGUAAGCAGGAAAUCUUGGUGUGAUGCUUACUGGAAUAUUGUGGAUGAAAUCAUUGAUAAGACAUUCUGGUUGAGAAGAAGAAGAAGAAGAGCAGCAACCUAUACCAGAAGUCAUGGAAGACCACAAUAAAUUUUACAGUUCGUUUUCUUAUCUCUAAGAAUUUCAAUUCUUCUUAACCCAAGUAACAAGCAAUGAGAAAAAUAGAAAGAAUUAAACACUUUAGUGUGCUCCACCAUCUAAACCUUUUAACUUCUUGAUGGGGGGAGGUAGGUACAAUUAUGUCUUCCGUGAAUGAUGCUAUGAAUGUGGAAAAUUUUCUCAUACUAAUGAAAUUUCUCCCUCCUUGAUGGGAAAAGUUUAUAGGUUUAUGAAAAUUCUACAACAUUAUUAUUGGCAACUUGUCCUCCGUAAUCUAGAAAAAAGUCUAUUUGAUAGUGAUUGAACAACUCCUUCACCAUGUGCAAAGUUCAAUAUCAUUUUGACCUGAUAUGUGCCAAGAAAGAUUGAAUUGGAGAUAUAAAAGAAUUUAUAAAUAUUUUUUUCCUUUUUAUUUAAAAAUGACCAGAUAAAAUUUUUAAAUUUACAAUAUCAAAAUUAAUCCUCAAAUUAUUGUAGGUGAAAUGAAAAUUAGUUCUGAAAAAAUGUUGUGGGAAUCAUUAUUACUAAAUAGGAAUAAAUUUAAUAAAAAUUUAAAUUUACAUGAUUUUUUUUAAUAUACAUCUGAUUUCAUUUUAUUCUCCUACAAAAAUAUUAUUUUCAUUUUCAAUAAGAUUUAAAUUAAAUUAAAUUAAUUAAUAUGGUAUAAAUUGAAUUUAAAAUGUUUUUACAAAAUUAAAACAAAAAAUAAAAAAUAAAAAACAAUUUAACCAAACAAGUCUUUGUUUUUUUUUCUUUUAAAAAGUCAUUUUAUAAAAAUAACUUGUCAAAUAUCCUUAUUUUCAUAAAACAUUAAAAAACUAUUUUUGGUUCUUUAACUUAAAACAAUUUCUAAAAACAAGCAUAAGAAAUCAUGGUCAAACAAGAAAUUAAAAAAAAAAAAAAGCAUUUAUUGGAGUUGUAUUAAAAAUGAAUAUUAAAAUUAUUUUUUUUUGUAAUAAUUUUUAUUUCACUAGAAUAAAAAAAUUGUUUCAUAAUUAAAAAAAAUAUUUAUCUUUAACUCAUAUAUAAUUGUAAAUUUAAUUUUUAUUUUUUUUAAUAAGACUUAACUUGAAUUUGAUUUCAUAUCAUUAUAAAUUAAAUUUAUAAAAUUUUUAUAAAAUAAAAGUAAGGUAUUAUUUUUAAAAACAAUACAAAUUCUUUUAUCUAAACAAGUUUUUUUGUUUUUAAAAAACUAUUUUUUAAAAUAUCUUAUCAAACACUCUUAUUUUAAAUACAAAAUUUAAAAAACCUCAUAAGAAAAUCAAAUAUGAUUAAAAUUAAUUUGAAAUUUAUAUAUUUUAAAAUUAUUUAAUCCUUAUAUAAUAAAAAUAAAAUAAGUGAAAUGAGUCUAAAAAAUUAUUUAAAAAUAAUUUAUUGAUUUUAAAUCGAUAUCUUUUCAUUUUCCUUUACUUUUUCUUUUCUCCUACUUUUCUUCUUUAUUUUAUUUUUCUUAUAUUUCCCUCAAAUUUUUAGAGAAUCAAGUAUAGCCUAAUUAUUCUAGCAAUAACGUGAAUUCAAAAGCAAUGUUAAGAGACUUUAAUUUCAAGAAAUAGAAGAAGAAAGUGAUUUUAAUAUCUGAAAGUUGAUUUUUAUCGUGCAAGUGUAAGUAGGUAUAUUUUAUUAAAAUGGAUGAAAUAAUUCUAUUUUAUAAAUCCAAUGGUCCACAUUUGUUCAACUUAAAAAAUGCCCAGUUUUGAGAAAAUAUCCUAUCUUUUUUCUUUUGAAAAUAAAAUAAUCACCAAAAUAUUAAAGGAUAUUUAUAUUUAAAAAAAAGUUACUUUCCAAGUUCAAAUAUAACAUGGGUUAAAUUUAUAAGUUUAGGAUCAUUUCAUCUAUUUUAAUUAAUUAAUAUUUUCAAUAAUGAUAAAUCUAACGAAAAAAACUUAACUAAUAAUUAUAUAAAACUUUAAAAUUUUAAUUUCUUAUUUUUUUUUAUUUCAUUUGGGAAUUUUUAAAUUUUUUUGUUUUAAUAAAAAGUUGAAGCUAAAGAAAUGGAUAACUUUGGUGCAAUGAAGGCUUCAUUAAGCGUGACAUAAAUUUAUGUCUUAAGUUGAAAAGAAGGCUUCACCAAAAAGUUAUAAUAUCCUAAUUUUUACACUAUAUUGUUCUUAUGUCUUAAGCACUUUUUAACAAAGCUAUUCAAACAUAUCCAAAGUUGAUUUUCUAAUAAGCCAAAAGCUCAUUUGGCUCACUAAGAGUUUAAGUUUUACGGUUAUAUGGUAAUUUUGUUAAAAAAAAAAUUAUAAUUAAAAAAAAGGUUAGUAUUAAGGCAUGAAAACAUUACUAUAUGUAAAAUAUAUGAAUUAAUAAUUUUUUAUUUAAUAAAUUUUUUUAUAAUAUGAAUACUAUCUUUUAAAAUAUAAAUGGGAAAGAUAAUUAAACAUAUAAAUAUAAGUAAUUAAGUCAUUAUGACAAAGGAUUUACAAAAAAUAGUUUAAAGAAAAGUAAAAAUAAUAAUAAUUAAAAAAAUAAAUCAAAAAAUGAAAUAUAACAAUCCUAUAAUUUUUUAUAAAAUUGAGAGAAAAUUAAUUAAAAAUGUUAAUUAAUAUAGUUUUUUUUGACCAAAUAGAAUAAUUUAAAAUCCUACUCACCAAUAGUAGACAAAAAUAAACCAUUGAGUCACAUAAAAGUUGAAACCAUUGUCAAUGACCUUGCUUUGAAGCAAAGUAAAAUAUAUAUGUUCUAUUUUAUAUUUUAGUAGAAAAACCCAUCAUCAUGAUUGUGACCUUAAACAACAAAACACUAGAAAAAUGUAUAUAUUUUAGUAGAAAUUAUAUUUUAAAAUAUAUAUGUUCGUAUUUUAAUAAAACUAUAAAUUAUAUAUUUUUUUCUUUAAAAAUAAAUGAUAAAAUUAUUUUAUAUAAUCAAACUACAAUAGGUGAACAAAUAUAAAAUAGAAAACACAAACACCCACUUCAAAUUAAUUCCCUUGGCUUUUCACAACCAAAGCUACAAGAUUCCUCAAUCCAUCCGUAUUAAAUUCAAAACAAAAACACUCACAUUCAUCAAUAUUAAUUCUUGAUCAUUAUUAACAAAUACACAAGACAAACACCCACCUCAAAAAAUUUUCUGAGUUGUCAUACCCGUAUAUAUUACUAUGAUUUUAUGGUGUUGUAAUGACUAAUGAGGAAAAAAAAAAAAAUCAGCGGGUGGUAAGGGUGAGCGAACGAGAACAGAUGGCGCAGAAGUAUUUGGUCUUGGUUUUGCGGGAGACAGGGAUACAGCAGACAUGCAAAUUGCAGUCAAGAAGCGUUGCAACAACAGGGCCUCCACAGCAUGGGCACACAGCUCUGGCUCCCUCUCUUUUUAUCACCUUCUUUCUCAGAUCAAACACUUGGAAUAUACUCAUCUUUGUCUUCUUCUUCUUCCUUUAUUUCCACCACUGAUACUUAAUUCCUUGGUGUCUCUACUGCUGGUCGAGGAAUAUAUAUAUAUAUAUAUAUAUAUAUAUAUAGAUAGAUAGAUCAUUGAGAUGAGAAGUUUCCUUGAGAAUCUGUAAGGAUGUUUUCCAGGAAAAUUCCAGAGGAAAAUGGCUGGCAAGUUCCUUGUCGAUGGAUUACGGGCCAACAGCUUUUUGGUGGUAAAACAUGGGCUAAGGCUAAAUGGGCCGAGUCUUAUUGUUAAAUGGGUUUUAGGGUUAGGGUUGGUAUAUGAUAACUAGAACUCUUGUAAACUCUAUAAAUAGGUGGCUUGGGAAAACGUAAAAGUGAGAUGGGAAGGUGCAUGAGCCGUCUUUCAAUAGUAAAGAGAAUUGCUCGCUCUCUGCCUGUGGACGUAGAUCACUUUGAUCGAACCACGUAAAUCUUGUGUUUGUUCUUGUGUGUGAUUGUUUUCUUCCAUUAUUCCGCGAUUCUAUUGCUUGCUUGCUUUACAANNNNNNNNNNNNNNNNNNNNNNNNNNNNNNNNNNNNNNNNNNNNNNNNNNNNNNNNNNNNNNNNNNNNNNNNNNNNNNNNNNNNNNNNNNNNNNNNNNNNGGAACUGGGCUGCAAAGUGGGCUCUAUGCCCUCUGUGUAUUUGGGGCUGCCAUUGGGGGCCCGUAAUAAGAGUGCAGCUGUGUGGGAUGGGGUGGAGGAGAAGAUGAGAAGAAGACUAGCGCAAUGGAAACGGCAAUACAUUUCCAAAGGUGGGAGACUUAUUCUCAUUAAGAGUACGAUGGCUAGCAUACCCUUGUACCAAAUGUCUCUUUUCCGUAUGCCCAAGUUGGUUGCGCGAAGAUUAGAAAAAUUGCAAAGGGAUUUUCUUUGGGGAGGAGGAAAUUUAGAAAGGAAAGUGCACAAUGUUAAUUGGAAGAUUGUGUGUACGGAGAAGGAAAAGGGGGGGCUUGGCUUAAGGAAGCUAGUCCCGUUAAAUAAAGCUUUGUUGGGGAAAUGGAUUUGGAGGUUUGCUUGUGAAAAGGAAAAUUUGUGGAGACAUGUACUUGUGGCGAAAUAUGGGCAAGAGGGGUUUGGUUGGAUGACCAAAAAGACUAAUGGGACUUUUGGAGUAGGGGUUUGGAAGGAAAUUAUGAAGGAAAAGGAGUGGUGUUGGGAGAAUAUGGCUUUUAGGAUAGGGAAUGGUACCAGAAUCAGAUUUUGGAAUGACCUUUGGUGCGGAUAUACUGUGCUGUCCCAAAGGUUUCCUCAUCUUUAUGGGAUGGCUGCUCAUAGGAAUGGUACAGUAGAGGAUAUGUGGGACCAGAAUAUGGGCCAAGGUGAUUGGGAUAUAAGAUUUGUGAGAGGAUUUAAUGAUUGGGAGUUGGAUUUGGUAGGGAAUUUGCUUCAUACAUUGAGGGGGUUCAAUCCGACUUUAGAAGAGGAUGCUGUUUUUUGGAAAAGGGGGAAAAACGGAAAGUUUAAAGUUAAAGAAGCCUAUAACUUGGUGGUAAAUUCUGGGGCUAGCAAUUUUCCGAAGAACAACAUUUGGGUGGAUAAAGUUCAAACAAAAAUUUUGUUUUUUGCUUGGGAAGCUACUUGGGGCAAGGUGCUCACGCUUGAUAAGCUCCAGAGAAGAGGGUGGCAUCUCCCUAAUCGGUGUUUCUUGUGUGGAUGUGAAGAGGAAACUGUUAAUCACAUACUAAUACAUUGUAUAGUGGCAAGAGUUCUGUGGGAUAUGAUAUGUGCUUUGGUUGGUAUUAAGUGGGUCUUUCCAGAAACUGUAAAGGAGGUACUAUUAAGCUGGAGGGGCCCUUUUGUAGGGAAAAAAAGGAAAAAGAUAUGGAAGUCUAUACCGUUGUACAUUUUUUGGACUCUUUGGAAGGAAAGAAAUAGGCUUGCUUUUAAGGGGGGGGGGGGGGGGGGGGGGGGGGGUUUUAAAAAACAAAAAAUAAAAAAACUUUUUUUUUUUUUUUUUUUGGGAGGGGGCAAAAAUUUUAUGGAGAAAGGGGGUUUUUUUUUUUAAGGACCCCCGGGGGGGAAACCCCCCCUUUAAGGGGGGGGGGGGUUUUUUUUGUUUUUNNNNNNNNNNNNNNNNNNNNNNNNNNNNNNNNNNNNNNNNNNNNNNNNNNNNNNNNNNNNNNNNNNNNNNNNNNNNNNNNNNNNNNNNNNNNNNNNNNNNNNNNNNNNNNNNNNNNNNNNNNNNNNNNNNNNNNNNNNNNNNNNNNNNNNNNNNNNNNNNNNNNNNNNNNNNNNNNNNNNNNNNNNNNNNNNNNNNNNNNNNNNNNNNNNNNNNNNNNNNNNNNNNNNNNNNNNNNNNNNNNNNNNNNNNNNNNNNNNNNGUUGUCUCUUAUAGGAUCCCUGGAGUGGAUAGCCGCCAUUUAAGGGCUGGUGGGCUUUUUGUUGUUUUUGUUUUCCUGUGUUUUUUGAGGCUCUAGCUAGAUUGUAUACUCCCUGUAUGCGUGUGGCUUUUUGGCCUCUUUUCAAUAUAUUAUUUGCUUACUUAUAAAAAAAAAAAAAGAUUUUUGGUCUAAACUUGUUUGAGCAUCACAUAUAUAGUUAUAUGAUCUUUUAUAAUAUUUAUAAUAUGUGUGUAAUCUCUUUAAAAAUGAAAAAAAGAACAACUUUAGUGCCUAAAUUGGCUAAGUAAUAAUAUUGUAUAGGACGAAGAGAAGAUGACAGUUAUCAGGUGAACAUUUUUUUUUUGCCUCAAAUCUUAAAAGAUUUUAGAUGUUUUAUUUUUUUUAUUUUUUUUAAAACUUAGUCUUAAUUAUUUAAAUUGAGUCUUAUUUUCAAGUAUGUAUAUGAAUAUACCAAAUAAAAAAUUUAAUUUUUAUUUGGAAUAUGAGCUUUGAAAUUGAAUGAUAUUUUUUCAUCAAUUUCGAUUGAGAUUUUAAACUAGUGUUAGACAUGUUUAGACCAUAGAUGAAAAAGAAAAGAAUAAUAGUGGAUUAUGUGCAAAAUUGUCUUGAUAUAAUGAUUAACCAAAGGAUGCUAUCUCAUCUUCUAUAUGGAAUUAAUUUUCCUUUAUUAUUGAUAUAUUUCACUAUUUUUAUUUUUAUUCUAUUUAAACAAAAAUAGUCGUGUGAACUAAAAUCGAUAUUCCUUUUAUUAUGGUGUUAUUUGACAAUUUUCUUUUAAUAUUACUUUUAAAAAAGUUAUAAUGUAGGGUAAGACAUUUUGGGAAAGGUAAUAAUCAAUUCAUUUCUUGACCAAUUGAUUAUUUCCUUAUUUUGAAGAUGUAGAAUGGUCUGAAUAAGAAAAAGGAUGUAGUCAAGGUCUUUUAUUUUAUUAUUAUUUUUAAAAUUUUAGAGGAUGUUUUACUUGAAGAUGGUUUAGCUUUUUGAUUUGAUAACGUGGUCAACACUGCAUAGAGAAUAAACUUCCUUUAUCAUCGUUCAUGAUCAAACAAUGUGAUAUACAAUUCAUACGAAAUUGAUGGGUCGUGAAAAAGAUAAGAUUUUUUUUUUUUUUUUUUAAAUUUUAGAAGAUGUUUUACUUAAACAUGGAUUAGCUUUUUUGACUUGAUUACGUGGUUAAUACUGCAUAUCAUCGGUUAUGAUCAAACAACUUGGUUUACACUUCAUACAAAAUUGAUGUGUCAUGAAAAAGAUACAAACUAUCUUAAUUUGAUUUUAAAUAGUUAGUUAUUAUCUAUUGUGGUCAACACUAGAUAGAAAAUAAAGUUCAUUUAUCAUUGGUCAUGAUCAAACAACGUGGUUUAUACUUCACACAAAAUUGAUGUGUCAUGAAAAAAAUGCAGACUAUCUUAAUUUGAUUUUAAAUAGUUAUUUAUUAUCUAUUGUGGUCAACACUAGAUAGAAAAUAAAGUUUAUUUAUCAUCGGUCAUGAUCAAAUAACGUGGUCUACAAUUCAAACAAAAUUGAUGGGUCAUAAAAAAGAUGCAAACUUUUAAACUAUAUAAAUAAAUUUAGGGGAUGUUUUACUUGAACACGUAUUAGCUUUUUGACUUGAUAAUGUGGUCAAUACUGCAUAUAGAAUAAAGUUCCUUCAUCAUUGGUUAUGAUCAAACAACGUGGUUUACACUUCAUACAAAAUUGACAUGUCAUGAAAAAAAUAUAAACUAUAUUAAUUUAAUUUUAAAUAGUUAUUUAUUAUCUAUUUAACUUGACAAACUUUACGACGUGGUCUACACUUCAUGAAAAAUAAAUAUUCUUUAUUGUGGAUCAUGAUCGAGAAAAAAAUGGACUAUUAUUAUUUGAUUUUAAAUGGUUAUUCAUUGUCCAUGAUUAAAUCUAGGCAAAUGAAGUUAUUAGAUAUUUGUAUAAUAAAAAAUAAUUUUGGAAGAAACUAAUCUAUCAUCAAAAGGUUAUAUCAUUUGUAUGUUACUCAUUAGUUGAGACUUAAAGGAAUUAAGUUUGUGGGUUGAAUCAUAUUAUUUUUGUAAUAUUAUUUUCCUUUGAAGUUAAAAAUGAUUAAUUAAGUUGCAAGACAAAUAUAUUGUUUAAUUUAUUAUGUGUGUAUAAGAAAAUAAAUUAGAUACAAUUAUAUUAAUGAUGUUAGUUUGACAUAUUUUGAUUUAAAAUUACUUGGUGUAAUUUAUAAUUGUAGAUAAUAAAUAUUUACUUUUAUAAUAUUAUUGGCCAAGUUAGACUUGCAUGAUCUUAAAAAAAUUUGAGAAUACUAAACUUAUGUAUUAUGUAAAAUAAUGUUCAAACUUAAUGUUUUAAAAGAUAUUAACCUUCAAUAUGGUUGUAAGGUUAUAAUUAUUUAAACUUAUCUAUCAUCUUGUGUGGACAACAUUUUUCAUGGAGAACUUUUUUUAUAUAACUGAUUAGAUUUAAUACUAUUUUUGUAUGCUAAAUGACCUAAGCUCUUAACUUAUUCCUACUACCUUAAUUUACAUUUUUUGUUUCCUCCGGUUAAGAUUUUUUAGCGUUUAGAAUGAGUAUAAUUUUUUUUAAUUCAUAAAUGAAUUUUCAUGUUUAUCUUAAUCUUAUUGACCUUGACUUAGUGCCAAGUCAUGGUCUUUCUAUCCACACCUUUUUAUUUAUUUAUUUCCUUUUUGUCCAAGUCAAGGUCUUUCAAUCAAGGCACUUGGUUUUUGUGGUGAGGUAAAGACUUAAGUCAUUUUCCACUCAAUUAGAAUUUAAUAUGAUACAACUCAAAUAAUACUAAAAAACAAAAGAAGUGAGGUUAUCAUUGUCAUUGCUUUAAACCAUCUUCUAUAUAUUUUGUUGAAUUGAAAAUGCAAGGGAAACAAGAAAAAAGUUUCAGGUAAGGAACUAAUAUUGAUAACUUAUUUUUAAUAUGCUUUUCUAUCUAAUCCUUCUACUUUAAGUGAUUUCGGUUCUCGCCAGUCAAAGUAAGGUUGAUCUUUGAGAUGAUUAUAAUUGUUUUUCUUAAUAUAUAUUUACAUAUGUUAUUAGUAGAUCUUUUUUGAUUGGUGACGUUUGUUAAAUGUGUUGUUUAAAAUAAGUUCUUCAUGUUGUGCAAUUGUCUUUUAGAUUUUGCCAAUGUUUUCAUUUUUAUGUUGGAAAUAAAAUUUUAAUUCAAUUCAAGAAAAUGCUGACUACAUAUUGGAAUUCAAUUUUUACAGGUGCUCCUUACUAGAGAAUUGAAUAUUUACAUGGAGAAAAUUUCAAUUCUUGGUUUCAUUUUAGCUAUUCUCUAUUUCAUAACAACAGAACUUGCAUGUAAUGGUCAUACCCAUAUCGACAACAAUGUUCAAUCUGAACGAAAGGCUCUUAUUGACUUCAAAAGUGGUCUAAAAGAUCCCAACAAUCGUCUUUCAUCAUGGAAAGGAAGCAAUUAUUGCUACUGGAAAGGAAUUAGUUGUGAAAAUGACACAGGAUUUGUCAUUUCAAUUGAUCUUCAUAAUCCUUAUCCUCGUGAGAAUGUAUAUGAGAACUGGAGCUCUAUGAACUUGAGUGGAGAAAUUAGUCCUUCAUUGAUAAAACUCAAGUUUUUGAAAUAUCUAGAUUUGAGUUUCAACUCAUUCAAAGCCAUGCCAGUUCCUUAAUUCUUUGGGUCUCUGAAGAAUUUAAUAUAUCUAAACUUAUCGAGUGCUGGGUUUAGUGGAUCAAUUCCUUCAAAUUUAAGGAAUCUUUCUAGCUUGCAAUAUCUCGAUCUUUCUUCUGAGUAUCAGGACGAUAUUGAUUCUGAAUAUUUUAAUAAUUUAUUUGUUGAAAAUAUUGAAUGGAUGACUGACCUUGUUUCCUUGAAGUAUCUUGGUAUGAAUUAUGUUAACCUUUCAUUGGUAGGAAGUCGGUGGGUUGAGGUGGCAAACAAGCUUCCAAGUUUAACUGAGUUGUAUCUAGGUGGUUGUAGCCUCUUUGGCUCAUUUCCAUCUCCAAGCUUUGUUAAUUUUACUUCACUUGCUGUUAUAGCUAUCAACUCCAACGACUUCAAUUCCAAGUUUCCUGAAUGGCUUUUAAAUGUUAGCAACCUUGUAUCCAUUGAUAUAAGUCAGAAUCUUUUACAUGGGAGAAUUCCACUUGGUCUUGGUGAGCUACCCAAUUUGCAAUACUUAGAUCUAUCUUGGAAUGUCAAUCUCAAUGGCAAUAUCUCUCAAUUGUUGAGGAAGAAUUGGAAAAAGAUAGAAUUUCUCAAUUUGGAAGGAAAUGGAUUACAUGGUAAGCUUCUUGUGUUAACAAAAAAUUGAUAUUUCUUUGUUGAUUUGUUAAUGUAUAGUUAAGUAUAGUUCACGAUUGUGCAUAUAAGUGUUGAAUAUAUGUCAAUAUACAAAUAUCAAAUAAUCACUAUAUUUGAUUCACUUGUUGGUAACAAAAUUCUUUUUAUUAAAAAAAAUUAUUUUGAAUUUUAAAUUUCUUAGAAGGAAAUUUAGUUUCUUUUUUAUCUAAGAAAAAAUAUGUAGUUUAAUAAUUUAUGCUUAUGAAGUAUCAAUGUGAUUUAACAAUUAUUUGUGUAAAGGUAAGUAAUUAUAAAAAGUAUGUCUACAUAACUAUUAAAAAGAAUCGUAUCUUAUAGGAAUAUGAUUUCUUUUUUAAUCCUUAACUUCCUUUUUUUUUACUUUAAAUUAGUUGAUGAAUGAUUUAUUAUUUAUUAUUGUCAAUAAUUAUACAUUUGUUAUAUUAAUUAUUUUUUGAAUGUUUUCAUUUCAUUUUGACAUAACUCUCAUUUUUUCAAUUUUUUUUGCUCCUGAGGAUAAUAAUUUGAGCAUGUACUAAAUUGAAUAUUUAUAUGAUGGUUGAAUUGAUAUAUGACGUGCUUUGUCACUUAUGCUUUAAUAUUUUACUAAAUUUAGUUAUUAAAUGUUUUCCAUUUUUUACUCUCAUGGUAUACCUUUUUUUAAACUAUUCUAUUAAAAUUUUAUUCUAAAUUGUUAUGUUUAUUUAAAGUACUUCCUGUUCCUAUAAAAUUUAAAUAAUUAUAAUUUACUAUUCACUUAUAUAUGAAAAGCUUGUAACUAAUAAAUUAAAAAAAUCACAUUGUAUUAAAAUUUAAAAAUUUACUUUCUUUGUAUCUCCAAAAAGAAUUAAAUUCCUAUUUUGACAAUUUAUGUUUAUUAAGAAUCUUUAUCAUCAAAUACCCUUCAAUCAUCUCCUACAUAUUUUCAAUUUCUAUUUUCUCUCACUAAUUCAUCUAUUAUAUCAAAUUAUUGUAAUUUAUAUACUGAGGUAAGACAUUUCAUGGUUGAGACUAGUAAUUGAAACCAUAAAAUUGAACAUUAAGUGAAUAUGAUAUGACAUUUCAUGUUCUUAAAUAUUGUUAUUGAAAUUUAAAAAAAAUUUAAGGUAGUAAAAAAUUUCUAAUAUGUAUGUUUUCUAAAACAAUUUUUGAAUAUCAUUAUUAUCAUUUUUUUAUGGUAAAGUUUACUAUUUAUAUUAGAGUUUCUAUGAAUUUCUAUGUUUAGAAAUAAAACAUAUGAAGCUUAUCCAAACACAACCUUAAAGAAACAAUUAAUGUCAAUGAUUAAUCCUACUAGUCUUAUAAGAGUGAAAUCAAUUACUUUAUUUCAUGGUUAUCAGAAAAGAUAAAAACAAGUACCUAAAAAAAAUCUAAUAUUUUUUCUUACUUUUUCUUUAAACUAAUUGUUCAUGAAUUAAUUUGUUUUUUUAUUUACUAUUUUUAUUAUUUGUUUGUUACAUAAUUUUAAUUAAUACAUAUUUUUAUUCUUGGUCAUUGCAGGUUCAAUUCCAAGCUCCAUUGGAAACUUUUGCAACUUAAAAUAUCUGGAUUUGGGGAAUAAUUACUUGAAUGGAAGUUUACCUAAGAUUAUCAAAGGACUUGAAACCUGCAGUUCUAAAAGUCCUUUGCCUAAUUUGACGGAAUUAUAUUUGUAUUACAAUCAAUUGAUGGGAAAAUUGCCGAACUGGUUGGGUGAGCUUAAAAAUCUUAGGGUACUCUAUUUAUCCGAUAACAAAUUUGAAGGUCCCAUCCCUGCUUCUUUAUGGACAUUGCAACACUUGGAGUAUUUGAAUCUUGGAUUGAAUGAGUUGAAUGGAAGUCUCCCAGAUAGUAUUGGACAACUUUCUCAACUGCAAGGCUUGAGUGUUCUUUCCAAUCAUAUGAGUGGAAGUCUCUCUGAACAACAUUUUUUGAAGCUGAGUAAGUUGAAGUAUCUAGGCAUUGGCUCCAAUUCUUUCCAUUUGAAUGUUAGUCCCGAUUGGGUUCCCCCUUUCCAGGUGAAAGGUCUUCAUAUGGGUUCAUGCCACUUGGGUCCUUCAUUUCCUGGUUGGCUUCAGUCUCAAAAGAACCUCGAGUAUCUUGAUUUCUCAAAUGACAGCAUUUCAAGUCCCAUUCCAGGCUGGUUUUGGAAUAUUUCUUUGAAUCUGCAACAGUUGAAUCUUUCUCACAAUCAGUUACAAGGUCAGCUACCAAAUUCAUUAAAUUUUUAUGGUGAAUCAGAUAUUGAUUUCAGUUCCAACCUCUUUGAGGGACCUAUUCCUUUUUCAAUCAAAGGGGUCUAUUUACUAGAUCUCUCCCACAAUAAAUUUUCUGGCCCUAUCCCACUGAACAUAGGUGAAUCCCUACCUAACUUGCAUUACCUUUUCAUUUCGAAAAAUCAAAUAACAGGGACCAUCCCAGAUUCCAUAGGACACCUUUCUUUUCUUGAAGUCAUUGAUUUUUCAAGGAAUAAUUUGACUGGAAGCAUUCCUUCUACCAUAAAUAAUUGCUCUAGGCUUUUUGUUCUAGACCUUGGAAACAACAAUUUGUUUGGGAUGCUACCAAAGUCGUUGGGUCAGUUACAACUGCUUCAAUCACUACACUUGAACCACAACAAGCUUUCAGGAGGGUUCCCCUCAUCUUGGCAAAAUUUAACAGGUUUGGAUGUCCUUGAUCUCAGUUACAAUAGAUUAUCGGGUCAGGUUCCUGCUUGGAUUGGAGCUGCUUUCAUAAAUCUUGUAAUUCUCAACUUGAGGUCGAAUCUGUUUUUUGGAAGACUUCCUUCUCGACUUUCAAAUUUAAGCUCCCUGCAUGUCUUAGACAUUGCACAAAACAAUCUGAUGGGUGAAAUUCCAAUCACUUUGGUUGAGCUUAAAGCCAUGGCUCAAGAGAAAUUGAAUAUAUAUCAGUUAAAUGUGAAUGCCAGCUCCUCGUAUGAAGAACGAUUGGUUGUGAUUAGCAAAGGCCAAAGUCUUGAAUAUACCAAGACUCUUUCUCUUGUUGUAGGCAUUGACCUAUCCGACAAUAAUUUAAGUGGAGAGUUUCCCCAAGAAAUAACAAAAUUGUUUGGUUUGGUGGUUUUGAACUUGUCGAGGAAUCACAUUACUGGCCAAAUUCCUGAAAGCAUUUCAAUGUUGCGGCAAUUGUUAUCUCUUGAUUUGUCAAGCAAUAAGCUUUCCGGCACCAUUCCUUCAAGCAUGGCCUCAUUAUCAUCCUUGAGUUAUUUGAAUCUAUCAAAUAACAAUUUCUAUGGUAAGAUCCCUUUUAUAGGGCAAAUGACAACCUUCACGGAGCUGGCCUUUGUGGGAAACCCUGAUCUAUGUGGAGCUCCACUGGCCAUAAAAUGUCAGGAUGAAGAUCCAAAUAAAAGGCAAAGUGUUGUUAGUGACAAAAAUGAUGGUGGCUAUGUUGAUCAAUGGUUUUACUUGAGCGUUGGCUUGGGAUUUGCCAUGGGCAUCCUAGUUCCAUUUUUUGUUUUGGCAACAAGGAAAUCUUGGUGUGAGGCCUAUUUUGAUUUUGUGGAUGAAAUUGUUAGAUGGUUGUUGAGGGGAAGAGCAACCUAUGCCAAAAAUCAUCCUAGAAGGCGAUAAAUUUUGUUUGUAGAUCUUUCUAUGCUUUAUGUAUCAUUAUAAGCUUUGGAAGUGAAUUUCAUCACAGUUGCAAUAGAAGAAAAGAGCUUGACACCUCUUAUUGAUUCUACACUAAGAAGUCUUGCUUAUCAUAUUUCCCAACUCCUUAUCAAUCAUAAACUCCUUGUACAACCAAAUAUUGUGAAAUUUUGUAUGAACAUAACCAAAGAAGUGAAAAAACAGUUUCUGAAUUUUCAAUGGAAGCAAAUACAUCUUAUUAUACCCUAUUCAAGUUCUAAAGCAAUAUAGAUUGUAGAGCCUCAUCUCGAUCCUCUUCAUAAAGAACAGAAAAAACUGGAUACCCUGUGCCACCAACACUACACAAAUAUAUAAAUCAUGAGCAGGAAGAUGCAGUUGGGAUAAAGAAACCUAUCAGACCUGAAACAACUCAAUUUUCCAACUAAAUAAUCCAGAAACUGACUUUGGCCGAUGACUUGGAAACGUGGAGAACAGAGGAUUGCACAAGAUGAGAUCAAUUGCAAGGACAAAGUGCAAUAAGUAGCACAACAGAGGAUAUGGUUUCCAAAACAGGGCUCUCUGCAAUUGAAAAUGCACCAGACACUCUCUUUUAUUGUUUUCAAUAAUAAUUUUUUAUUUUGAUUUUGUAAAUUUAAUUUGUAUAAUACAAAUUAAAUUUAAUUCGUUUCUUAUUAAAAAUAAAAAAAAAUAUCUUUAUUGUUACGAUUGAAUUAAAAAUAAAUAGUUUUUAAUAAAAUAUAAAAACAAAUUCAAAAUAAUAAUUUUAUUAUUACAAAUAAAUUAAAAAUAAUUCAACUCUUUUCCUUAUUUUUAGGGUGAGGAGUGAUCUUAAAGACAACAUUAAUAGGCUUAAAAGCAGGCUUCUGCACCUCAAUUGGAGCUACCACAUGGCACCAUGUCAUAGGCCAACCCCCCCCCUCUUCCUCCCCUCACCCACACCCACACCCAACCGAAACCCACCCCGCAUGAUACCCAACCCAAUAAAAAUGAGUUGGGCCUAAUUUUGGCCCAUUUUCUUGGUCUGGAUAGUUUGUCCCUUUUUUUUUUCCCCAUCCAAUAUUUUAGGCCCUCUUAUGGGUCCCAUUCCCUGCCCAAUUUCUGGGCCAAUUUUGGGUCUCACUUUUUUUUUCUUUUUAUCCUUAAAUGGACCAUUUUUUGGCCCAUUUCUGGGCAACUUUUGGGUCGUUUGAAUUUUUAUUUUUAUUUUCUUUUUUUUUAAACCAUUUUUUCCUCUCUGCAAGGGCCUAAUUUCUGGGCCCAAUAUAUGGACCUUUUUUUUCUUGGUUUUUCCUUCUCCAUUUUAACUUCCAACUUUCAAAACCCAUAAUUUUGAAUGAGUCAUAGUCUUUUGAUUAUUUAUUUAUUUAUUUAAUUUUAAAAGAUGUUUUACUUGUGCACAAUUUAGCUUUUUGACUUGAUAAUGUGAUCAAUAUUACAUAGAGAAGUUUUACUAUCAUCGGUCAUAAUCAAACAACGUAGUCUACACUUCAUACAAAAUUGAUAGAUCAUAUUAUUCUAACAUAAUUUUAAAAUGGUUAUUUAUUAUCCAUAUGAUAAUUUGACUUGACAAACUUUACAACGUGGUCUACACUUUAUUCAAAAUAAAUAUUCUUUAUUGUGGGUUAUAAUAAAAAAAGGAUUAUUAUGAUUUAAUUUUAAAUGGUUAAUCAUUGUCCAUGAUUAAAUCUAGACAAAUUAAGUUAUUAGAUAUUUGUAUAAGAAAAAAAAAAUGGAAGAAACUAAUUUAUUAUAAUAAGGUUAUCGCAUGUGUAUGUUUCUUGUUAGUUGAGACUUUAAAGGAAUCAAGUUUGUGGGUUGGAUCAUAUUAUUUUCUAAUAUCAUUUUCCUUUGAAGUCAAAAGUGAUUACUUAAAUUACAAGAUAGAUAUAAUAUUGGCAACCUAGUUAGAUUUUUAAAAUUCUUAUGAAUGGUAAAAAUUGUUUUCUAUUUCUUUCAAAAAUAACAAAAAAAAUAAUGUUUUGUGAUGGUUUCAAAUAAUUUUAUAAUUUUAGAAGAUAAAAAAAAUUGUUAUUCUAAAAUGCAAAUAAAAACAUAUGAGUUUUCUAAUAACAAGUGAAAGUUAUUAAUUUAUUAUUAUUGAAUUUUAAUUUUAAUUUUUAAUUUUUUAAUUUUAUUUGAAGAUAAAUUAUUUUAAAACUACUAUAUUAUUUUUUAAAAAAUAAUAGAAGAGUUUUUUCUAUCUAGAAAAUUAAUUUUAAAAAAUAACUAUUAGUCCAAAGGUUCUCCUAAUCAUGUUUUGAUGAUAACAAACUAUGUUUAAGUUACUAAUUGGUUUGAAUUAUAAAGAAUUUCAAUUUUUAAUUUGGAAAUUCAUCAAAUGACCUAAUGGAUGCAAGAUCAAGACUUUUGAAAGACCUUUUAAUCAUAGGAAACAUAUGUAAGAUGAAUACAUGAGUGCACUUAGGAUUUUCAUAUCAUUUCAUGCAUCUUUGAAAACUCAAUUUAUGCAUUAAAGUUACAUUUCCAUCAAAAUCUGAGUUCUAUUAAAUGAACUUUAGGCAAAACGUUUCAAAAUUGGCAUACUAUUUUACCUAAAGACUUUGCUUAAUUGUUAAAAGCAAAAAGACCAGAAAAGAUAAGUUUUCGAGCCAAAAAUGGUGAACCGAUCGAGGCACUAGCCGAUCGACUCAACCGACUAGGGUACUGGUCAACCGGUUACUCUUUCUGGGUCGAGGUCCAAUCGAGAGAUGCAAAAACACUCCUUCUCUCCCAGUAGUCUUUCUUUCUCGGUUAAGAGAUUUGUCUUCCCGAUCGAGGUCUAAUUAAAGGUAACGAUCACUUGUCAAGCAUUUAAUGCUCUAAUGACAGCGGUGCUGCGUCACUAGGUGAUGAAGCAUGAUACCAUCCACCACCAUUCAUUGAACUUGCCGACAAAAUCAACUAGUAGUUCGGUUAAUUAACCUAACUCAUGAAAACCAAGAAGAAAACAUUUCACCUAACUCAUGAAAACAAUAAACAUUUCCGAUAUUUUAUCUUUCAUUGGAAGUUUGUGAAAUUAUUAAUUUUUUAGAUAAACAUUUUACCCAUAUUUUUUCAUUAAAAAUAAAUAUUAAUAUUUGAAAAUUUUUAACUAUAAAUUAUAAUAUUUUACUUUAAAACAAAUACUACAUUAUAAGAAAUAAAUACAAAAUAAAUGGAUAAUAAUUGUUUCUAUAAAUAACAUAAUGAUAACUUUUCAUAUAUAAUAAAAAUAUAAAUUAUGUAUUUUUUUUUUGUUAAGAAAAUGGUAAUCUUUUAAUAAAAAUAGAUAUUAAUAUUUUAAUAAAUCAGUAAAAUUGUAUUUAUUUGUUAAGUUUUAAAAUUUAUAGAUUUAUUAAAAUAUUAAUAAAAUAAAUUUUAUAAAUUUAUUGAAAUAUAUUCAUCAUUAUCAUGUUUGAUAUGUAAAAUAAGAAGUGAGAAUGAAAAUCUCAUUCAUUAUCAUGUUUGGAAUGAGAAUGGAAUAAAAAAUUAUUCCAACAAAUAAAUAAAUUUCUGUAAACUAUUUUUAAACACUUUUCAACUAAUAAAAAACAAAAAACUGAUUUGUAUAAGUUGUUUUUAAAAAUAAUUUUUUAUUUUGAUUUUGUAAAUUUAAUUUGUAUAAUAUAAAUUAAAUUUAAUUCGUUUCUUAUUACAAAUAAAAAAAUAACUUUAUUAUUAUUAUUGAAUUAAAAAUAAAUAGUUUUUAAUAAAAUAUAAAAAUAAAUUAAAAAUAAUAAUUUUAUUAUUACAAAUAAAGUAAAAAUAAUUCAACUCUUUUCCUUGGCUGGGCCAGUUUGGCCCUUUUUAUUUAUUUUUUUAGUUUUGUAUUCCCCACCAGCUAGCCUUUUGGGCUCUCUUAUGGGUCCCAUCUCUGAGCCUAAUUUCUGGGCCAAUUUUGGGCCGCCCUUUUUUAACAUAUAUAAUUUUUAUGAAGCAUUUUUUGCCUCCCUAAGGGGACCAUUUUCUGGAAACUUUGGGGCCUUUGAAAUUUUAUUUUAUUUUAUUUUAUUUUUCUAAUAUUUUAGCUAUGAAUUAUACUAUUUUACAACUUCACACAAAUAUUUAUGUACUUUAAAAAGAAUAUUAAAUUAUAAGAAAUAAAUAGAAAAUAAAUAUUUCAAUAAACCACAUACAUAACAAAAAAUAUAAAUUAUGUAUUUUUUUUAUAAAAAAAGAUGAUAAUAUUUUAGUAAAAUUUAUAAAAGAUAAAUAUUAAUAUUUUAAUAAAUUGAUUUAUUCUCGUGGCACAUGUCAUAAGCCAACCCUCCCAUCUUCCUCCCCUCACCCACACCCAACCGAAGCCCACCCACAUGAUACCCAACCCAAUAAGAAAAAAUGGAUUAUUAUGAUUUAAUUUUAAAUUAAGUUAUUAGAUAUUUGUAUAAGGAAAAAAAAAACUAAUUUAUUAUAAUAAGGUUAUUGUAUGUCUAUGUUUCUCGUUAGUGGGGGACUUAAAGGAAUCAAGUCUGUGGGUUGGAUUAUAUUAUUUUUUAAUAUCAUUUUCCUUUGAAGUUAAAAGUCAUUACUUAAAUUGCAAGACAUAUAUAAUGUAUGUGUAAGAAAAUGAAUUGGAAGCAAUUAUAUUAAUGACCCUACUAUGCCAUAUUUGGAUUUAAAAUAACUUUUCAAUGUCUUCAUAAUUUACAACUGUGGAUAAUAAAUCUUUAAUCUUCUAAUAUUAUUGGCAAUAAUUUUGAAAAGCAAAGCGAUUGUGUUGAAAUAAUAUAGUGGUCAUAUUAAUUAGGACUUGAUGAGAUUAUAUGUAAUAUUUAAAUAUAAAUUAAUACUAUUUUUAAAAUUAAUUAGGACUUAAAAUUUUGUUUAAUAAUUUAAUACUAUUUUUAAUUUACUAAAUAUUCUUUUAGUUUACCAUGUGUAAUUUUUUUUUAAAAAAAAAACAAUUAAAAUAAUUUUAUAUAAAUAAGAGUGUCUAGUGUAUUAAUUUUUUUUUUUGGAUUCUGUGAUAGCACAAAAUUAAAAUUAAUUUUUUUAUACAAAAUUAUACUCUAUUUUUUGUUAAAUACAUUUAUUUUUAUCUUUUAUCAAAGUUUCUCGAAUUAUUAAUUUUUAGGCAAACAUUUAAAUUCUUUUUUGUUAAAAAUGAAUACUAAUAUUUGAAAAAUUAUAGUUAUAAAUUUUAAAAAUUCACUUAAAUUUUUAUCUAGUUAAAAAAAUAUUAAAUUAUAAAAAAUAAAUAUAAAAUAAAUGGAUAAUAAUUAUUUCAAUAAAUAAUAUAAUGAAUCAAUGCAUAAUAAAAACAUAUAAAUUAGUAUUUUUGGGUUAAAAGAUUAUAAAAUGCAUACCUUAUGUUUUCUAUUGUUUUCUAAUUCCAUGCAUACCUUAUUGUUUUGGGUGUUGAGGAGAGUUAUUUUACAUGUAUCAGAGAGGAUAUGCUUUCCUUUUGGGGGUGUCUUGAGCAGGGGCAAGAAAAAUAGAGGGAACAAGAGAAAGUGGGAGCAGUGAAUUGUGAGGGAGGGAAGAGGUGCAGAGAGGCUUGGACGAUAAGAGAAGAAAGAGAAAACCAACAGAGAAGCGGGGACUGUGAGAAAGUACAUAGAGAAAAUGAGAAAAUGGACAGAGUAGAGUGGAGUUGGGGGAAGACUACAAAGAAAUUUUUACUAGAGGAGGAUAUUCAAGGUUGAGGGAUGAGCUGGUUUUAGCGAGAUUUUUGAGAGGAGUCUUGGGGAAGGAAUGAAAGUUGUGAGAGAACCAACAGAGAAAGAGAUUUACAAAGAAAAGCUAGGGAGGGAGAAGAAGGGAAUCGACUGGUCUUGCUUGAGUUAGAGGAAGAGAAAGCUUGCUGAAAGGGGCCAACAUUGCUUAUGAAGAACAUCCUCAGGUAUGACUGCCAUGGAUCCUUUGUUUUUCUUCAUUGUUAUAUAGUCUCUUUCUAUUUUCUCGAUAUUUUCUAUGGAUUGCUUGACUAGGUGUUUAGUUUUAUGAUUCCUGUUUGGUUUAUGGGUUUAUUGUUGCUAUCUUCUUUAUUUUCUUUAGGGUUAUUUGAGAGCAACACAACUCUGUUUUAGCUUCACUGUACAUCACGUGGAAGUCUUGCUAUUGUUUUCAUUUCCAUGGGAUGCAUUCUGGUUCACUCGCUUACAUCUAAGCCUGUUGAUCAAAACAUGAAACGUGACUUUCACUAGUUCAUUCUGGUUUCAUCCUUUCGUACUCUGUUUUCUUGGUUGUCUUCUUAUAUUCCUGUGUGUGUUUAAGGGUGCAUAUUAGUAUGUACAUCACCAGUUGACUAUGCUAGAGAAGGGCUUCUGAAUGCAGUUGAAGCUCGAGACCCAAGUUUGGAAGAAGAUAGCAGGCUCGGUAACUGUGAUGUGAUUGUUGUUUCAUGGGAAAAGUGAAUUGGCACCGGUUGAACAUGGGUUACCAGAGAAUGGUAAAUAUAUGGCUUAGGUUCCUUAGGCUUUGGGCUCACUAUUGCAGACUGCACCAUAAGAAGGAAGUGAACAUAAGUUGAUUAUUACCCUUUUAGGUGUUGGAAAUGAAGUGGGUUAGUCUUGUGUCUUUGUGUCCUAUAAGAGGAAAUCUGUAAUGAUGUUGAUGAUCAUGAUAAUGGGUUAGGUCAUAUUAUUCAGAAUCAUGCAUUAAAUUAGUCUGAGAAUCAUAAAUUGGCCCUUUUGGAGAAAGAUGCUCUUGAUGAUGACAUAGAUAGAGCUAGUUGUGAGCCAGAGUGAGGAAAUCAGUAUUGUAGAUGCCCUAGGAUUUCCUAAUGUACAGACAUGCAGAUGAAGCCAGUAAAGCCAUUAAGGCCAAAUGGUGUUGUUUUCGUAGGAUUGUUAACAACUUGUACACAUGCAUGGUUGGUUGAGAAGGAGGCUCAAUCAUCGGAUGGGUCUGUUGAAAUCAAAACAGGAUGGUCAGUGAAAAAGAGCUCUCCAAUGGCAAUCCCAGAUUUGGGUUCAAUACUGGAACAAAAAAAGUAUGAAGAUCUAUUGACUGCUGGAAUUGUUACUGUUUUUCACCCAAAAGGAUCCAUUUCAACUUUUGAAUAUAUUGAAAGUGGAAUUGUGAAAUUCUUGGUGAAUUACUUAACUAAUGGUCUAUACAUGAGAUAAAAAGUCAGUUCACUAUGCAUGUGAGCCCAAGCCAGUUCCUUAACUCUAGAAGCCUAAACCAUCAAUUUGUCCCCCAUCACCAUAUUCAACAAUCACUCCUUGUUAAGAUAUGGACUCACACAUAUUUAACAAUGGUACAUGACUAAGCUAUUCGCCUUUGAUAUUUAUUUUAUAUCGGUUUUCCACAGUAUGGGCCACCUUAUGUGUAGAGCCCAAAGCCAUCACGGGCCUUAGAUGAUGGGCCUAAGACUCGUGAGGCCCAAUAGCCAAAGGGUAUGGUCCCUAAGGCAGGAGGGUAUAAAAGGCUUGUGUCUUUUGGAUCAAAUACAUCUUUUGAAAGACUUGAACCGCUCUCUCUCUCCCGCUCCCAUCGUCUGAGAGAAUCCAGAAAGAGGUGGUGCCCUCCACAGCCUAAGAAGAUCCAUACCUUGUCCAAAAGGAAAAACAACAAAAUGGAUUCAGGUUUGUUCAUUCCCUAUCUAGAGAUCAUAGCAUGCUUUUAGAAUUGAUAUAUGCAUAUGUAUAUCCUGCAUGUGUUUUGGGUGAUAAUGGAUUCAGAAAUCUAACAAUUGGUAUCAGAGCUCGGUUCCAUUUUCACCAAAACCCACAUUUUAGAUUUUCCUUUUCUCGUUGGGAAUUAAAAAAAAAAAAAAAAAUUGGAGGCGCCGUUCAGGCGCGAUUUGGUGGCGGUCACUGCGAUAUCAUUCUCCUCGUGGUGUCGGGGAAUGGAAGACGCCAUUGCAAGCGCCUGUCUUGGCGCUGUUCAGGCGCACCACUGCAGCGCCUUUAGGCACCAUUAGGGUGCCCUCCCAGAGGCAUCGGAGCGCGUAUCAGUGCCAUUGAUGGUGCGCUGGAGCACCAUUGAAGGGCGCUGGAGCGCCAUGGAAGGGUGCUGGAGCGCCAUGGAGGCGCGCUGGUGGUUGUUGGUGCGCGCUGCAAGGGUGGCCUCUGACGCCGUUCCGGGGUCGUGCUCUGAGGCGCCACUUCCGGCAUCGUCUCCAGCGCCAUUUAGGGCGCACUGCUGUUGGAGGCCAACGCCAUGAAUGGCGUUUUUGUUAAAAAAAAAAAAAAAAAAAAAAAAAAAAAAAAAGGCCACAAGAGAGCUUGAACCCGUGACCAUGUUAUUCCCUUUAAUUUGACAGCUGAACCACUAGACCAAGUCUUUAUUUGAUGUGUCAAUUGGUAUAUAUAUAUAUAUAUAUAUAUAUACCUGCUUUUAUUCUUUAAUUGCUUUUAUGCUUCAAUUUGUAUGGAUAUAUACAUAAAUUUGUGCAUAAAUAAAUAGAUGAUUAAUUUUAAUUAAAUUAUUUUUUACUAUAUUUGUGUUUUAUAUUUUUAAAAUAAAUAAAUUGUAUAUGUUGGUUGCCAAAGUGACUUGUAUUAUAUAACUUAUUUAUUUUAUAAUAUGUAAACAUAUUAUUGUUAUUUAAAAUAAUCGGCCCAAAGGAAGAUUAUUUUAAAAUAAUAAUAGAUAAAGAAAUCAUAAAUAUAUGACAUAUAAUGUUUAUCUUGCAUUUGAUAUGUUAGUCCAAAGACAAACAUAUUGUUUUCGAUUUUAUUGUCAAUAUUUAUGAAUUAAUUUUGUAUAAAGAUACCAAUUACAAAUUAAUAUUUUUGUCCAAAGACUGAAUAUUAAUGUUUGUGCUAGGUAUUUUAUAUGAUGUUAUUUAUUCAUGUAUGUAUGAUGCUUAUGUGACUGAUUGUGAGUUUUAUUAUUAUAAAUUCAGCAUUUUCUAUAUAUGCAAAUGUUAAUAACAUUCCUGUGCUUAACGGCACAAAUUUCAAGAAAUGGAAAGAGCACGUAAUAAUUGUGCUCGGGUGCAUGGAUUUAGACUUUGCAUUAAGGGAGGAUCGCCCUUCAGAUCUUACUAGUGCCAGCACUGCUGAGCAAAGGUUUACUAUGGAAAAAUGGGAGCGAUCCAAUCGCAUGAGUCUAAUGAUUAUGAAGCACUCAAUUCCAGAAGCAAUAAGGGGUGCAAUACCUGAGGAAACCCAAGCCAAGGCAUUCUUGGACCAAGUAGCAAACCGAUUCGCUGCAAACGAAAAGGUUGAGACAAGCACUAUUCUUAGUAAGCUUGUCUCUAUGCGGUAUAAAGGGAAAGAGAAUAUCAGGGAGUACAUUAUGGAAAUGUCUAAUCUUGUGACGAGACUUAAGACACUAAAGUUAGAGUUGUCGGAAGACAUACUCGUGCACUUGGUCUUGAUCUCUCUGCCUACACAAUUCAGUCCAUUCAAAAUUAGCUACAAUACACAAAAGGAAAAAUGGACUUUGAAUGAGCUUAUUGCUCAAUGUGUGCAAGAGGAGGAGAGAUUGAAACAAGAGAAGAUAGAAAGUGCUCACUUGGCUUUCACAUCUCAAGGAUUUGGUACCAACAAGAAAAGAAAGAGGGACAAUAAAGGAAAACAAACUGCAGUUUCUGAAACAUCAAAGCAGAAGGUGCAGAAGAAACAAGAUAAGGAGAUCACUUGUUUCUUUUGCAAAAAGGCUGGUCAUAUGAAGAAGACAUGUGCCAAAUACGCUGCUUGGCAUGAAAAGAAAGGUACACUUCUCAACUUUGUUUGUUCAGAAAUUAAUUUAGCUAUAGUGCCUACAGACACUUGGUGGAUAGAUACGGGUGCAACUACUCACAUAAGUGUCACUAUGCAGGGUUGCCUAAGGAGCCGAAUGCCAACUGAUGGUGAAAGAUACAUCUAUGUGGGAAAUGGCAACGAGGUUGCAGUCAAGGCUAUUAGUCUUUUCAGAUUACAGUUAGACUCUGGAUGUAAUUUGGAUUUGGAAGAGACUUUUGUAGUACCGUCGUUUAGACGGAAUUUAAUUUAUGUUUCUUGUCUGGACAAAUUUGGAUAUUGUUGUUCAUUUAGAAAUGGAAUGGUUAGUCUUUAUCUAAAUUCAAUUGCUAUUGGUACAGGUAGUUUAACAGAUAAAUUAUACAAAUUGAACAUAAAGACCACUAAUGGAAAUGAAACCUUGCAUUCAAGUAAUUAUGGCAUUAAGCGAAAAUUAAUAAAUGAGAAUUCAUCAAUGUUAUGGCACAAGCAUUUGGGUCACAUUUCAAAUCAACGGAUUCAAAGGCUUGUGUCAGAAGGAAUUCUUGAUCCACUUGAUUUCUCAGACUCUCAAGUCUGUAUAGAGUGCAUUAAAGGUAAACAAACAAAUAUGAGGAAAAAGAAUGCCAAUAGGUGCAGUGACGUCUUGGAAUUGAUACAUACGGACAUUUGUGGUCCAUUCCCUGUAGCUUCUUGGAAUGGACAACAAUAUUUUAUCACUUUCAUUGACGAUUACUCGCGCUAUGGUUAUCUUUAUUUGAUUCAUGAGAAAUCUCAAUCAUUGGAUGUGUUCAAGAAUUUCAAAGCUGAGGUUGAGAACCAACUAAGCAAGAAAAUAAAGGCCGUCAGAUCUGACCGUGGAGGUGAAUACUAUGGUAGAUAUGAUGGAUCAGGUGAACAACGUCCAGGGCCAUUCGCCAAAUAUUUGAUGGAGUGUGGUAUCGUUCCUCAAUACACCAUGUCAGGGACUCCAAGCCAAAAUGGUGUAGUAGAGAGGCGAAACCGUACUCUUAAGGAUAUGGUAAGAAGUAUGAUUAGUCAUUCUACCUUACCAGAAUCACUUUGGGGCGAAGCCAUUAAAACUGCAGUUUACAUUUUGAAUAGAGUACCAAGCAAAGCAGUAGCCAAAACCCCAUAUGAAUUAUGGACUAGCAAGAAACCUAGUAUUAGGCACUUGCAUGUCUGGGGUUGUCUAGCUAAAGCUAGGCCUUACAAGCCAAAUGAAAAGAAAUUGGACUCCAGAACAGUGAGCUGCUACUUUGUAGGGUAUUCUGAAAGGUCGAGAGGUUUCAAAUUUUAUGAUCCCUCAACUAGAUCCUUCUUUGAAACGGGCAAUGCUAAGUUCAUUGAGGAUGUUGAGUUAAGUGGGAGAGAGUCAUUAAGAAAGGUGGUCUUUGAAGAAGAAUCUGUUAAUAUUCCUAUUAUUACGACUGGACAUGGUCAUAUUAUGUUUGAUGACACUAUUCAGAAUGUACAGUCGAUAACAGGGAUUCAAGACACACCUGAGAUUCCUCCUGCUCAAGUUAUGGAACCGAUUCAAGUUCAUCAAGAGGUAACUCAACAACCUCAAGUACAAGUGCCACUAAGGAGAUCCAUUAGAGAAAGGAGAAGUGCAAUUUCAGAUGAUUAUGUUGUAUAUCUCCAAGAACAUGAGUUUGACAUGGGUCUGGAAGACGAUCCAAUUUCAGUAAGUCAAGUCAAACAAAGUUCUGAUUCUGAAAAGUGGAUAGAAGCCAUGAAGGAUGAGAUGAAAUCAAUGAAAGACAAUGGUGUUUGGGACCUAGUAAAGUUGCCUAAAGGUGUAAAACCAAUUGGUUGUAAAUGGAUUUUUAAAACCAAGCGGGAUUCAAAAGGCAACAUUGUUAGGUAUAAAGCACGCCUAGUUGCAAAAGGUUUCACUCAAAAGGAAGGCAUUGAUUAUAAAGAGACUUUUUCACCAGUUUCAUCAAAGGACUCCUUUAGAAUCAUCAUGACACUUGUAGCUCAUUAUGAUUUAGAGCUACAUCAAAUGGACGUUAAAACAGCGUUUCUUAAUGGCAACAUUGAUGAGACAAUAUACAUGGUGCAACCGGAGAACUUUGAGUCUAACGAUUCAAAGCAACUUGUAUGCAGAUUAAAAAGGUCCAUAUAUGGUUUAAAACAAGCAUCCCGACAAUGGUACCGAAAGUUUGAUCAGGUGAUUACUUCAUUUGGUUUUAAGGAGAACACCGUUGAUCAAUGCAUAUACCUUAAGUUCAGUGGGAGCAAAUUUAUUAUCUUGGUGCUAUAUGUUGAUGAUAUUCUACUUGCAAGUAGUGAUAUGAGACUUUUGCAUGAAACCAAGCGAUUUCUGUCUAGUAAAUUUGACAUGAAGGAUCUUGGUAAUGCAUCUUUUGUGCUGGGUAUACAGAUCCAUAGGGAUCGUUCAAGAGGUAUACUUGGGUUAUCACAAAAGGCCUACAUCGAUAAGGUGUUGAGUAGAUUUGGCAUGGACAAUUGUGUACCAGGAGACACGCCUGUAGCAAAAGGCGAUAAGUUCAGUUUGCACCAAUGUCCGAAAAAUGAACUUGAGAAGAAAGAUAUGGAGAGAUUUCCCUAUGCCUCGGCAGUAGGAAGUCUCAUGUAUGCACAAGUUUGUACGCGUCCAGAUAUUGCGUACAUUGUUGGAAUGUUAGGCAGAUAUUUAAGUAACCCAGGUAUGGAUCAUUGGAAAAAGGCAAAACGGGUUAUGCGGUAUUUACAAAGAACUAAAGAUUACAUGCUCACAUACCGUAGAUCAAGUCACUUAGAAAUCGUGGGAUAUUCGGACUCCGAUUUCGCGGGAUGUAUUGACUGUAGGAGAUCCACUUCACGCUACAUCUUCAUGCUAGCUGGAGGAGCAGUUUCAUGGAAAAGUGUUAAACAAACACUUAUUGCUUCUUCCACCAUGGAGGCAGAAUUCAUAGCCUGUUACGAAGCAUCAAACCAUGGGAUAUGGCUGCGGAAUUUUGUCACUCAGUUACGAAUAGUUGAUGGGAUUGAGAAACCAUUGAGAAUCAACUGUGAUAAUAAAGCCGCAGAAUUGUAUUCUAAGAACAACCGAAGUUCGUCGAAGUCCAAACACAUUGACAUCAAGUUCUUGGUUGUGAAAGAAAGAGUUCAGAGUCUUCAAGUAUCGAUUGAACACAUAAGCACAAACUCCAUGAUUGCGGAUCCACUCACUAAGGGUUUGUCACCCAAAGUAUAUCAUGAGCAUGUCACACAUAUGGGUGUUGUACACAUUGAUGAUAUGCUAGUAUAGUGGGAGUUUGUAUUUAGAUUUUGUGUUUAUUUUCUUGAUGUGAUAUUAUAUAGUGUUAUCUGUACAAAUCUUGAUUUUAAAGACUAUUGUAUUUGAACACUCUGAAUUAAAAUGAUGACUUUCAAAAGCAGUUAAGCAUCAAGUGUUGAAAGUGGAAUUUGACUAUUUUUAGUCAUAAAGUAGGACCGAUUGGAAAUAGACAUAUUAAAGAUCACAUUCUAUGUAAUUUCCAUGCUACACAUCCAUACUUGAUCCAUGUUGCUAAUUUUGUUAAUGUUGUGAUUGAUGAUAGAUCUAGUUAAAUUAUGAUUAACGAAGGCCGCUUUAAUCCUAUGUUAACAUAAUUAGUAGACCGGAUUGUUUAAGGAUAUGAAGAUAGAAUAGCAAGAUGAGCUCAAUAAAGUCCUAUCAUGAACAUUGUUUUGUAAUAUAUGUGGUCCAAGUGGGAGAUUGUUAAGAUAUGGACUCACACAUAUUUAACAAUGGUACAUGACUAAGCUAUUCGCCUUUGAUAUUUAUUUUAUAUCGGUUUUCCACAGUAUGGGCCACCUUAUGUGUAGAGCCCAAAGCCAUCACGGGCCUUAGAUGAUGGGCCUAAGACUCGUGAGGCCCAAUAGCCAAAGGGUAUGGUCCCUAAGGCAGGAGGGUAUAAAAGGCUUGUGUCUUUUGGAUCAAAUACAUCUUUUGAAAGGCUUGAACCGCUCUCUCUCUCCCGCUCCCAUCGUCUGAGAGAAUCCAGAAAGAGGUGGUGCCCUCCACAGCCUGAGAAGAUCCAUACCUUGUCCAAAAGGAAAAACAACAAAAUGGAUUCAGGUUUGUUCAUUCCCUAUCUAGAGAUCAUAGCAUGCUUUUAGAAUUGAUAUAUGCAUAUAUAUAUCCUGCAUGUGUUUUGGGUGAUAAUGGAUUCAGAAAUCUAACACUCCUCACACCCCCUACCUUCAAUUUCAAACCUAUCAUACUCCCUCCAUGAUCCUUACUUUCCUUUCUCUCCAUAGCAUGCUCUUCAGACGAUAAGCAUAAUUCAACUAGAAGCAGCUCGUGGUUGGGCCAUGGUUGGCUAACCUCUCUCAUCCGGGCUCUCAUCAUUACCCAAGACGACCCCAACAUACCCGUAGCCACUGUUCAACUUGAAGACAUAUCUAAACUCCUGGGUAGUUGCCAUCGAGAAUGUGAUGGAACAAUGUAACCAUAUUUAGGGCAUUCAAUUUGUUGUUGAUGAUUCUAGAAAAUUUUCCGAUGUUAUUGUUGAUUUCCUAGAGAAUAUUGCGGACGAACAUACAAUACCCCGAUAAUGCUGCAUACAAUAUGGGGCCCUGAAUCCUACAUGAAUUACAGAAGUUGUAGGCAGUUUUGGUCCUUGAUGCAACCUCAUGAUGACAUAACAAAUACAGGGCCAAAAAGUUGGGCAUUAUAUUGUGGUUGAAGUUGUGUAUUAGAAUUCUGGCCAAAUAGCUCCAUUAGAUGGGGUUAUCAGAUUAAAGGAAGAAUACAAUUUCUGUGUCUUAUUGGAUGAGAGAAAUCUUGUGCUAUGGAAUGCAUCUAAGAAGAAGGUGAUUAUGGAUGAUCUCAUAGCUUGCAUGGCCAUCUUCUUAGGCUUAAUAAGAGGAACAAAGACUAAAUUACUGUGUGUUUGUCCAAGUUGCAAUUCUCCAUGUUGUGUGUGUUUCUCCAUGUUUGGGUCUCUGAAGAAUUUAAUAUAUCUAAACUUAUCGAGUGUUGGGUUCAAUGGAGCAAUUCCUUCAAAUUUAGGGAAUCUUUCUAACUUGCAAUAUCUCGAUCUUUCUUUUGAGUAUCCUAUCUAUAUGAAUUUUGGAUAUUCUAAUGAUUUAUUUGUUGAAAAUAUUGAAUGGAUGAUCGGACUUGUUUCCUUGAAGUAUCUUGGUGCAUAAUAUGUUAACCUUUCAUUGGUAGGAAGUUAAUGGGUUGAGGUGAUAAACAAGCUUCCAAUUCUAAUUGAGUUGCAUCUAGAUAGUUGUAGCCUUUUUGGCUCAAUUCCAUCUCCAAGCUUUGUUAAUUUUACUUCACUUGCUGUUAUAGCCAUCAACGUCAACGAAUUCAAUUCCAAGUUUCCUGAAUGGCUUUUAAAUGUCAGCAACCUUGUAUCCAUUGAUAUAAGUUACAAUCAAUUACAUGGGAGAAUUCCACUUGGUCUUGGUGAGCUACCCAAUUUGCAAUACUUAGAUCUAUCUUGGAAUUUCAAUCUCAGGGGCAGUAUCUUUCAACUGUUGAGGAAGAGUUGGAAAAAGAUAGAAGUUCUAAAUUUGGCUCAAAAUGAAUUACAUGGUAAGCUUUUGUGUGUUAUUAGAAAAAAUGAUAUUUCUUUGUUGAUAUGUUAAUGCAUAGUUAAAUAUAGUUCAUAAUUGUGUAUAUAAGUGUUGAAUAUGUAUCAAUAUACUAAUAUGGAAUAAUCACUAUAUUUGGUUCACUCGUUGGAAACAAAAUUCUUCUUAUUAAAAAAAAAAUUAUUUUUAAUUGUAAAUUUCUUAGAAGGAAAUUUAGUUUUUUUUAUCAGGAGCAUUAAAUUAUUUUGUUGUGUGAAUGUAACAUAAAGAAUAUGCUUGAUUUGAUAAGUUUGAAAUAGACGUGAGAAUAAAGUUGGUUUUUCUCUCUUAAUUUCCACAUAAAACAAAAAUAGAACAAAUGAAACUUUGUCUUGUUAUGUGGGAAAAAAAAUUAUGGGAAAAAGAGAGAAAAUUGCUAGUGGAAUGAUCUGUCACAAAAAAUUGACUUCUAGAGUUUGUUUUUUUUUUUUUUUUUUACUUUUUAAAAGAAGAAUAUUAUAUUUGUAACAUUUAAACUUGAUUGUUAAAAUCAACAUCAUAAAAUCCAAUCAUGAAUGCUAAUAUUAAAAAUAAUAAAAAGUGUAAUUAAAGACAAUGUAAAUAUUAGCUUAAUUUUUUUAAAUGACAUUAAAAAUAAUAAAAAAAUGUAAUUAAGACAAUUUAAAUAUUAAUUUUUUAAAUAUUUUUUUAGUAAUCUAUUUGGAUUUAAUUUGUUGAACCAAUUUCGACACCAUUUUCAAGUGGUAGUUAUCUUUUGUUUAGAUUAAUAUAAGAGUCGUAAUGAUUUUCGGAAACAUUCCCAUCUUUUCUAAUACUUGAAAGUUUUUAUCUUUCAAGUAUUAGAAAAGUUAAAAAUGCUUUCUGAAAUCAUUGUCAAAAUGUAUUUUAAGGCCUUAUCUAUUUUUUCUAGUUCUUGCAAUAGAUUAAGUAUUGAAUUAUAUAAGAUGGAGACAUCUUAUGGAUUAUUUGAGGGCCUGUUUGGAAUAAUGGCAAUGAAAAUGAAAAAAGAAAAUUCCAUUUCAUUUCUCAUUCUCAUUCUUAUUUUUUGUAAAACUUGGUUCAUCCAUAAUUUCCAUUGAUUUUUUUAAAUGUUUUUUAGAAUUGCAAUUAUUUAAUGCAUGAAACUUUUUAAAAACUUGAGAAUAGCUUUCUGAAGUCUAUUUUUGAAAAAAGAAAUUGGUAAGGGUAUUUUUGAGAAACAAAAGAUGUAAAACAUCUCGGAAACAUUUUUAAAAAGUACUUUUAGUUUAUGAAGUGUUUUUUUUAAAAAAAUUAAAUGUUUUAAUAAAAUUUAAAAAACAUUUCUACACCAUUGAAAAAUCAUUAUAGUGUUUCUUAAAGAAAUACUUGAUAACUAAACUUUUAGAAAAAAAAACUUUUAUUAAAAAUAGUUCAAAGAUAAAUAUUGCCAAAUGCACUCUAAAAAAAUACUUUUAGUUUUAAAUGUGUUUUUGAAAAAAAAAAAAAAGUAUUUGAUAAAUUUUAGGAACUUAUAAUAUGUUUUGAAAAAACACUUAAAAUGUAAUUUUCCUAAAAACAUUUAGAGUGCGUUUUGCAGUGAUUCGAAAAAGUGUUUCUAUCAUGCCUAAUACUUAAAAAAUAAAAAAAUUUAAGUGUUAAAAAGGCUAAACAAUACUUUCCAUAAUUACUGUAAAACGCACUCUUAAAAAAUAAAAAUAUAUUUCAAAUAAAAGCAUUGCCAUCAACCGUCUAACUAAAAAAAAUUGCUUUUCAAAUGUGAGUUAACAACUCUUUUUGAAAAAUUUUGCAAGACAAGCUCUUAGAAUUGUUUGAGAGUUCUUUUAUCGAGGGAUUGAUUGGUUAUGGAUGUUAGACUUUUACAUUAAUCUGAUCAUGUUAUAAUCUCAAGUAAGGUGAAAUUGAUUAAAUUGGAAAUCCACCCAACCUCGCAACGGGUUGAAAAUUGAUAGUUUCUGAUUAAGUUGGACUAAAUUGAUAUGAGUUGAUUAUUCAAAUUGAUUAAGUUGAGCGGGUUUGAGAUUUGGGCCGAACAAUACCCAGAUCCAUACACAAGAUAAUGGAUCCGGGAUCGGAUACGGGACCCGGCUCAUUUGAUCCCCGACGAACACAUUUGUAUAUCCAACCCCUAGAUCCUGCGGCCAGGAUCUAAUAUCUCCCUGAAAAGAAAUGUGAACCGUUGGAUGACUGAAUACAAAGCCACAAACAAACCCUACGAAACCCUAGUUUUUCACUCUCCUUCUUUUCGGACUGCUUCUGAUUCUCAGGACUCCUAUCUUCUCCACUGAUCACAGCGGCCACUCUCGGUGAGUAGAAGCUAUUUUCCGUUUGGUUCCUUAGAAAAUAUGGAAGGAAAUGCAUAAUUUUGGAUCUUAUUACGGUUUUUGUGGGUUUGUUUUGGUUCCUACUCGAAUGAAGUUGGUGGAAGUGAUUGUUUCUUGUUUGAUUCCCGAGAAAAUAGAACAGCAUUUGAAAGACUUUUGAUCUUGUUAUGUUUUAUGCUGUUCUGGUUUGGAUAUAUACACCUAGUCCUUGUUGGUUUGAAAUUUCAUCAAAUACCUCCCUUCCCUUUAUCAUUUGUUGUUUUCACUCACCUCCCCUCUAAUUCAAAAUAAGGGAGGUAUUUGACAAAUUUUCCAACUAGUGGGGACUAACUGCAUUUAGCUAAAAUCUUAAGGGAAGUGAGUGAAAUUAACUCAUCUUUUAAAUUGAAAGGAAAAAGAGUGAUUGAGAAGAAUAAGGGAAUUGAUGUUUUUAAUGGCUGAUCUCAUAUAUAAUCUAAUCUAAUUAUUCAUAGAUCAAAAAGAUUCCACUACAAUUGGUGGAUAAAGAAGAAGAAAGAUGAGUGGAUAUUAACACUAAUGGGGAGGAUAAUAUAGCAAUUGAAUAUAAUAAUGGUCCUUGGAGGGUCCUAUUAGUGCUAGUAAUAGCAAUGUUGAAAAUUAUUUUUGAUAAAAUCAUGAGACAAAGCUAAAUUUAAUGAGAAAAAAAGAAUUAAAUUAGAACUAUUACAAAUGAAAAAUAAUUAGUUUUAUCAUUAUAAAAUUUGUUUACCUAUAAACAAAUCAUUAUGAAAUUUGUGUUUUUUAUUAUUUAACUUUCUUGUGACUUUAUGACUAUAUAUUUUAAUUUUUUUUUUGAUAAUUUUUAUUAUUUAUUUGUUUAAGUUGAGGCUUACACCUCAUUUUCCAUGAGGCUUAAGUCUCACCUUGUUUAGACAAAAUGCCUCAAGAUCAUCUUUAGCCAUUUAAAACAUUGGUCCUUCUCCUUUUUGAUGUAUUCAUAUCUCUUUUGAGCUUUUGUUGUCUUUGUAGUGCUUAUUAAUUAUAAAAGGUUUGUGAUGAAUAUAGAAUUUGUCAUUUGAUUGGUUUUUGGCUUGGUAGAGAGAUGGGUGAAGAGGAAGCCAAGGGAGGACCAGUGAUUCCAGAGUCUGUGCUGAAGAAACAGAAGAGGAGCGAGGAAUGGACAUUGGCAAGAAGCAAGAGGUUGAGGCGAAAAAGAAGAAGAAUGCUGAGAAUCGGAAACUGAUUUACAGUAGAGCUAAGCAGUAUGCAAAGGAGUAUGAUGAGCAGGUACUCGUAGUUUUGUCUCAUGUAUUUGUUUUUCUGUUUUACUCAUGAAGAUGUGGGUAGCUUUAACUAAUAGAUGACACAUUUUUCAUGCAGCAAAAGGAGCUGAUUCAAUUGAAGCAUGAGGCUAAGCUGAAGGGUGGAUUUUACGUUGAUCCAGAGGUUAAACUUCUAUUUAUUAUUCGUAUCCGUGGGUAUGCACUUGGACUAUAGUUAUUUCCAUUGAUACCUUUACUUUCCUAUUAAUAUUCUGGUUCUCAUUCCUGUUCACUCUGGAACUUUCAGUAUCAAUGCUAUGCACUCGAAGAUGACAAAGAUUUUGCAGCUCUUGCGUUUGAGACAGGUUAGAUGUCAAACCACUGCAUCUGGAAAUGAGAAAUAAAUGGCCGUUAUAAAUCUAAUACCAUUCUUUGUGCUUGACAGCAUUAAGUUUCUUCUCAUAUCUUAUAUAGAUAUUCCUCCUCAAAGGAUAUAGUGGGGUAGGGAAUUGGGGUUGAACACCAGGGUGCCCUUUUUAGGAGUAGUAUUGCCAGUUCUUGCAUUGUUAAUCAGAAUUGUUUUCUUACUGUAUCAGAUCAAAUAUACAUACAUAUAUAUAUAUAUAUGUAUGUAUGUAUGUAUGUAUAUUUGUUUCACCUCAGAAUCUGAUGCUUAUACCUUAGCACUGCGGCUGUGAUGAAAACUUUGGGCAGAUGGAAAUUGGUAUUAUCUGUAUUUUUUCUACGCUUUUGAUAGUAUAUUGUGACAGUAGUGGCAGUAUUUGCCAGCUUGCUAUGCCCAGGUACUAUGCGUGAUACUGUACCAUAUUGCUUCUGAGAUAGGUUAUGGAACUGUGGCCCAUUAGCAUUCAUAUCAUGUCCAUAAAACACUCUUGACACUCAAAUGGCGAAGACAAACUACAAUUUUCAUUAACCAAAAUAAAUUGUCUAGUGAGAGCAAAUAAUCUAGAUUGAAACGUUGAAAAUCAAUGCCUGGCUAUAGUACUCAAGAAGCUGAAUUAAAUGUAUCAAGGAUCAAAUAUCCCAAACUUGUAUUCUUGAUGCUAUUUUGGAUGGUGAAUCAUUAGUUCAUCUUACAAACUGCUUCCUUAGUGAUUGAACAUUGUUAGUUUUAUGUCAAAUGAAUUAGUUAUGCAUCAUCAAUAAGGAUAUAAUGUCUCUUAUGAUGAGCUUACUAAUCUAAGCAAGCUAUCCCAUUAAAAAAAUGGAGUGUUCUUUGAUGACAUAAGAUCUUCUCAUUCGCUUCUUUGAAUACAGAUAUUCAAUGGGGUGUUUCUUAAAGUGAACAAAGCAACAAUGAACAUGUUGCACAGGGAUGAGCCUUGUGUGACUUAUGGGUAAGUAUCUUACUCUUUUGUUUUUCUUAAAAUCCUAUAAAAAGUUCUGAACUUGUGUAUUAUUCAUUUCUAAUGUAUUUAUAUUGCAAAUAUUUUAGGUACCCCAAUUUGAAGAGUGUGCGAGAACUGAUUUACAAGAGGGGCUAUGGAAAGUUGAACAAGCAGAGAACUGCCUUGACCGACAACUCCAUUGUGGAAUAGGUUUUUAUGUCCUUCUGUAUCUUGGUUUUUUUUGAGGGAUUGUUUGCUAUAUCUUGUUGCUAACCUGCUUUUGUGAUGAUAGGCUUUGGGGAAGUUUGGGAUUAUUUGCAUGGAAGAUCUUAUUCAUGAAAUCAUGACUGUUGGACCUCAUUUUAAGGAGGCCAACAACUUCCUAUGACCAUUUAAGCUGAAGGCACCAUUUGGUGGUUUGAAGAAGAAGAGGAAUCACUAUGUUGAAGGAGGAGAUGCUGGAAACCGUGAAAAUUACAUCAAUGAGCUCAUCAGAAGAAUGAACUAGACAGCUUGUGGUACUUUUGGCCUUUUCUUAUUGGAAGUUUGAUAUCUUUUGCUUCUUAUUAGCAACGAUAAAGUUGGUGAAUUCUUUUUCGGGUCAUAAACAUGAACACAGUGUUGGGAAAUUGAAUUUGAUAUUUGUUUUUAGACUUUGAUAGUAAAUAACUUUAUUACCUCUUAGAAUUUUAUUAGCAUUCAUGGAAGUGAUCAAUGAGUGAUUUUCUAUUAUAGUUACUUCCAUUCAAAAUUUUGUAUUGCAAGGUCAAAUUUAUAUAUGCCAUUUAAAUUUAUGUAUGCCACUUAACAACAUUUAUAAAAUUACCCUUACAAAUAUAUGGUGCUUCAAUUGAGUUUGUAAACCUUUUUUUUCUAUCAAGGUUACUUAAGUGUCAAAUCAACCUCUUUAUUAUGGUUUUUGGAGUAAACUUGUUGGAAAACCUCAAUAUGUACACUUGUAUUCAUCUUCAUAUGAUAUGUUUGGAUGUCUAAAAACACAAUGUUUAGUAUUAGAUUGACACGAUAAAAAGUUUGUUUCAAAUUAGAUGGUGUUUGUUUUUUCUACUUAGAUUUAAGUAGAACUCAAUUUCACUCUUAAUACAAUAUAAUAGUAUUAAGUUGAUUGUUUUUUUAUUAUUUUAUUUUUGUAAAGUGGUAAGUAUUAAUAGGGUGAGGCCAUGCUGAGAUCCUAUUUGGAUUGUUUUAAUAGUUAUUUUUAGUAUGUAUUAAAAAGCUAAAUAUUUUAACUUUUUUAUUUAGUAAAAUUUUUUAAAAAAAUGCAUAAUAAGUGGAAAAAAAAAGUUAAAAGAAAAUUAUAUAAAGUCUCAGACAUUUUUUGAGAUAAUGUUAUGUCUAAACCAUGUUAAAGUUUCAAAUGGAUGUUGUAUAUUUCGAUUUUUGGUCUAAACUUGUUUGACUAUCACAUAUAUAGUUAUUAACUUAUAUGAUCUUUUAUAAUUUUUAAAAUAUAUGUGUGUAUCUCUUUAAAAAUGAAAAAAAGAACAACUUUAGUGCCUGAAUUGGCUAAGUCAUAAUAUUGUACAGGACAAAGAGAAGAUGACAGUUAUCGGGUGAACAUUUUUUUUGCCUCAAAUCUUAAAAGAUUUUAGAUGUUUUAUUAUUAUUAUUAUUUUUAAAUUUAGUCUUAAUUCUUUAAAUUGAGUCUUAUUUUCAAGUAUGUAUAUGAAUAUACCAAUUAAAAAAUUAAAUUUUUAUUUGGAAUAUGAGCUUUGAAAUUGAAUGAUAUUUUUUCAUCAAUUUCGAUUGAGAUUUUAAACGAGUGUUAGACAUGUUUACACCAUAGAUGAAAAAGAAAAAAAAUAAUAGUAUAUUAUGUGCAAAAUUGUCUUGAUAUAAUGAUUAACCAAAGGAUGCUAUAUCUUCUUCUAUAUGGAAUUAAUUUCCUUUAUUAUUAACAUAUUUCACUAUUUUUAUUUUAAUUCUAUUUAAACAAAAAUGGUCGUGUGAACUAAAAUCGAUGUUCCUUUUAUUAUGGUGUUAUUUGACAAUUUUUUUUUAAUAUUAUUUAAAAAAGUUAUAAUGUAGGGUAAGACAUUUUGGUAAAGGUAAUAAUCAAUUCAUUUCUUGACGCGUUGAUUAUUUUCUUAUUUUUAAGAUGUAGAAUGAUCUAAAUAAGAAAAAAAGACAUAGUCAAGGUCUUUUAUUUUAUUUCAUUUUAUUAUUAUUUUUAAAAUUUUAGAGGAUGUUUUACUUGAAGACAGUUUAGCUUUUUGACUUGAUAACGUGGUUAACACUGCAUAGAGAAUAAACUUCCUUUAUCAUUGGUCAUGAUCAAACAAUGUGAUCUACAAUUCAUACAAAAUUGAUGAGUCAUGAAAAAGAUAAGAUUUUUUUUAAUUAAAUUUUAGAGGAUGUUUUACUUAAACAUGGAUUAGCGUUUUGACUUGAUAACGUGGUUAAUACUGCAUAUAGAAUAAAAUUCUUUUAUCAUCGGUUAUGAUCAAACAACGUGGUUUACACUUCAUACAAAAUUGAUGUGUUAUGAAAAAGAUACAAACUAUCUUAAUUUGAUUUUAAAUAGUUAUUUAUUAUCUAUUGUGGUCAACACUUGAUAGAAAAUAAAGUUCAUUUAUCAUUGGUCAUGAUCAAACAACGUGGUUUAUACUUCAUACAAAAUUGAUGUGUCAUGAAAAAAAUAUAGACAAUCUUAAUUUGAUUUUAAGUAGUUAUUUAUUAUCUAUUGUGGUCAACACUAGAUAGAAAAUAAAGUUCAUUUAUCAUCGGUCAUGAUCAAAUAACAUGGUCUACAAUUAAAAAAAAAAUUGAUGGGUCAUGAAAAAGAUGCAAACUUUUAAAAAAUAAAAAUAAAUUUAGAGGAUAUUUUACUUGAACACGUAUUAGCUUUUUGAUUUGAUAACGUGGUCAAUACUGCAUAUAGAAUAAAGUUCUUUUAUUAUUGGUUAUGAUCAAACAACCUCGUUUACACUUCAUACAAAAUUGAUGUGUCAUGAAAAAUAUACAAACUAUUUUAAUUUGAUUUUAAAUAGUUAUUUAUUAUCUAUUGUGGUCAACACUAGAUAGAAAAUAAAGUUCAUUUAUCAUUGGUCAUGAUCAAACAACGUGGUUUAUACUUCAUACAAGAUUGAUGUGUCAUGUAAAAAAUAUAGACUAUCUUAAUUUGAUUUUAAAUAAUUAUUUAUUAUCUAUUGUGGUCAACACUAGAUAGAAAAUAAAGUUCAUUUAUCAUCGGUCAUGAUCAAACAACAUGGUUUACAAUUCAAACAAAAUUGAUGGGUCAUGAAAACGACGCAAACUUUUAAAAAAUAAAAUAAANNNNNNNNNNNNNNNNNNNNNNNNNNNNNNNNNNNNNNNNNNNNNNNNNNNNNNNNNNNNNNNNNNNNNNNNNNNNNNNNNNNNNNNNNNNNNNNNNNNNNNNNNNNNNNNNNNNNNNNNNNNNNNNNNNNNNNNNNNNNNNNNNNNNNNNNNNNNNNNNNNNNNNNNNNNNNNNNNNNNNNNNNNNNNNNNNNNNNNNNNNNNNNNNNNNNNNNNNNNNNNNNNNNNNNNNNNNNNNNNNNNNNNNNNNNNNNNNNNNNNNNNNNNNNNNNNNNNNNNNNNNNNNNNNNNNNNNNNNNNNNNNNNNNNNNNNNNNNNNNNNNNNNNNNNNNNNNNNNNNNNNNNNNNNNNNNNNNNNNNNNNNNNNNNNNNNNNNNNNNNNNNNNNNNNNNNNNNNNNNNNNNNNNNNNUUUAAAAAAUAAAAUAAAUUUAGAGGAUGUUUUAGUUGAACAUGUAUUAGCUUUUUGACUUGAUAACGUGGUCAAUACUGCAUAUAGAAUAAAGUUCUUUUAUCAUCGGUUAUUAUCAAACAACAUGGUUUACACUUCUUACAAAAUUGAUGUGUCAUGAAAAAGAUACAAACUAUCUUAAUUUGAUUUUAAAUAGUUCUUUAUUAUCUAUUGUGGUCAACACUAGAUAGAAAAUAAAGUUCAUUUAUCAUUGGUCAUGAUCAAACAACGUGGUUUAUACUUCAUACAAAAUUGAUGUUUCAUGAAAAAAAUAUAGACUAGCUUAAUUUGAUUUUAAAUAGUUAUUUAUUAUCUAUUAUGGUCAACACUAGAUAGAAAAUAAAGUUCAUUUAUCAUCGAUCAUGAUCAAACAACAUGGUUUACAAUUCAAACAAAAUUGAUGGGUCAUGAAAAAGAUGCAAACUUUUAAAAAAUAAAAAUAAAUUUAGCGGAUGUUUUAGUUGAACACAUAUUAGCUUUUUGACUUGAUAACGUGGUCAAUACUGCAUAUAGAAUAAAGUUCUUUUAUCAUCGGUUAUGAUCAAAUAACGUGGUUUACACUUCAUACAAAAUUGAUGUGUCAUGAAAAAGAUACAAACUAUCUUAAUUUGAUUUUAAUAGUGAUUUAUUAUCUAUUGUGGUCAACACUAGAUAGAAAAUAAAAUUCAUUUAUCAUUGAUUAUGAUCAAACAACGUGGUUUAUACUUCAUACAAAAUUGAUGUGUCAUGAAAAAAAAUAUAGACUAUCUUAAUUUGAUUUUAAAUAGUUAUUUAUUAUCUAUUGUGGCCAACACUAGAUAGAAAAUAAAGUUCAUUUAUCAUCGGUCAUGAUCAAACAACAUGGUCUACAAUUCAAACAAAAUUGAUGGGUCAUGAAAAAGAUGCAAACUUUUAAAAAAUAAAAAUAAAUUUAGAGGAUGUUUUAGUUGAACACGUAUUAGCUUUUUGACUUGAUAACGUGGUCAAUACUGCAUAUAGAAUAAAGUUCUUUUAUCAUCGGUUAUGAUCAAACAACAUGGUUUACACUUCAUACAAAAUUGAUGUGUCAUGAAAAAGAUACAAACUAUCUUAAUUUGAUUUUAAAUAGUUCUUUAAUAUUAUCUAUUGUGGUCAACACUAGAUAAAAAAUAAAGUUCAUUUAUCAUUGAUCAUGAUCAAACAACGUGGUUUAUACUUCAUACAAAAUUGAUGUGUCAUGAAAAAAAUAUAGAAUAUUUUAAUUUGAUUUUAAAUAGUUAUUUAUUAUCUAUUGUGGUCAACACUAGAUAGAAAAUAAAGUUCAUUUAUCAUCGGUCAUGGUCAAACAACAUGGUCUACAAUUCAAACAAAAUUGAUGGGUCAUGAAAAAGAUGCAAACUUUUAAAAAAUAAAAAUAAAUUUAGAGGAUGUUUUAGUUGAACACGUAUUAGCUUUUUGACUUGAUAACGUGGUCAAUACUGCAUAUAGAAUAAAGUUCCUUUAUCAUCGAUUAUGAUCAAACAACGUGGUUUACACUUCGUACAAAAUUGACAUGUUAUGAAAAAAAUACAAACUAUAUUAAUUUAAUUUUAAAUAGUUAUUUAUUAUCUAUUUAACUUGACAAACUUUACAACAUGGUCGACACUUCAUGAAAAAUAAAUAUUCUUUAUUGUGGAUCAUGAUCGAGAAAAAAAUGGACUGUUAUUAUAUUAUUUUAAAUGGUUAUUCAUUGUCUAUGAUUAAAUCUAGGCAAAUGAAGUUAUUAGAUAUUUUGUAUAAUAAAAAAUAAUUUUGGAAGAAACUAAUCUAUCAUCAAAAGGUUAUAUCAUUUGUAUGUUACUCAUUAGUUGAGACUUAAAGGAAUUAAGUUUGUGGGUUGAAUGAUAUUAUUUUUUAAUACCGUUUUCCUUUGAAGUUAAAAAUGAUUAAUUAAGUUGCAAGACAAAUAUAUUAUUUAAUUUAUUAUGUGUGUAUAAGAUAAUAAAUUAGACACAAUUAUAUUAAUGAUGUUAGUUAGACAUAUUUCGAUUUAAAAUUACUUGGUGUAAUUUAUAAUUGUGGAUAAUAAAUAUUUAAUUUUAUAAUAUUAUUGGCCAAGUCAGUCAUGUGUGAUUUAUAAUAAUUUGAGAAUAUUAAACUUAUCUACUAUCUACAACAUUUUUUUUAUGGGUUUUAUUAUUAUUAUUUAAACUUAUUUAUUAUCAUCUUGUGGGGAUAACAUUUUUCAGACUUGAUUAUUAUUUUUAUUAUUAUUACUAUUUAAACUUAUCUAUUAUCAUUUUGUGAGGACAAUAUUUUUUAUAGAUAUGAUGUUUUAAAAGAUAUUACUUUCAACGUGGUUGCAAGGUCUUUAUUAUUAUACUUUUGUCUAUGGGUCAUGCACAGUGGGACAAGACCUUAGUCAAGUUUGUAGAAAAUUUUGAAUUUUCUACUACAAAAAAUUAAUUUGAUUUUCUUAUAAGCCAAAAAAAAAAAAAAAGGAAAAUAAAAAAGAUUUAUUAAGUCUAUUUUUUUUAGGGUUGAGAGAUAACAAUACAUAGAAAAUGUUUUUUAUGGGUGAUGCACAAUAGGAAAAAUCAAGGUUAUAUAAAAUUUUGAAUUUUCCACCAAUAAAUUUUUAAUCAAGCAUAUAAUUGUUAAUAUAUAUAUAUAUAUAUAUAUAUAUAUAUAUAUAUAUAUUAUUUAUUUAUUUAUUUUAAUAUUUAUGAAAAAAAAAAGAUUGUUAUUUAAUAUGUAAAACAACUUAAAUUCAAAAAUAAUUUUUUUUAAAGGUUUUUCUAUAAACAUAUCACAUUCCAAACACAACCCUUGUAACUAGAAGAGUAUUUAAGUUUAAAAUAUUUUUUAACUUUGAAGUUGUUUAGUUAUAGUUACUAUAUUUAUGUAAAACUCUUUUAACCCAAAUACUUAUGGACCAAACUAGUUUAUACAAGUGUUUUCCUUUUAUUAUAGUACUAUUUUACUAUUUUUCUUUCAAUUCUAUCUUUUUAUGCAAGUAUUUUUCCUUUAUUAUAGUAAUAUUUCACUAUUUUUUUUAUUUUAAUUCUAUUUAAAAAAAAGUAGUCAUGUGGACUAAGAUCGAUUUUCCAUUUAUUAUGGUGUUAUUUACCAUUUUUUUAAAUAUUUUUUUUUUAAAAACUAUAAUGUAGAGUUGUCCUUAAGGUAAUGAUGAAUUCAUUUAUUGACUAGUUGAUUAUUUCCUUUAAUUUUGUAUUAUGAUACAAAAUUAGUGUUUUGAUCACUAUUAAGUAUUUCUUUAUAUCCUAUAUUAUAAUUAGAUAUAAAGUUGUUAGUGUUAUUUUUAAAGUGAAAAAUGAUCUUAAUGGGACCAAAUGGUCUUUUGCUUUUUUGUUUUAAUUUUAGGGAUGUUCUACUUGAGCAUGGUUUAACUUUAUGACUUGAUAGCGUGGUCAACACCACAUAGAAAAUAAAGGUCUUUUAUUGUCAAUCAUGAUCAAAAGUUCCAUUAUUAUUGAUCAUGAUUAAACAACGUGGUCUAAACUUCAUACAAAAUUGAUGGGUUGUGAAAAAAAUGUAGACUAUUGUAAUUUGAUUUUAAAUUGUUAUUUAUUAUCCAUAUGACUAUUGGACUUGACAAACUUUACAAUGUAGUUUACACUUCAUUCAAAGUUAAUAUUCUUUAUUAUGGAUCAUGAUCAAGAAAAGAAUGGACUCCUAUGAUUUGAUUUAAAUGGUUAUUCAUUGCCCAUCAUUAAAUCUAGUAAGAUAUUUCUAUAAUAAAAAAAAUUGCAAGAAACUAAUCUAUUGUCAUAAGGUUAUAUCAUGCGUAUAUUUUUUAUAAGUCGGGACUUAAGGAAUUAAGUUUGUGAGUUGGAUCAUAUUAGUUUCUAAUGUCAUUUUCCUUUGAAGUAAAAAGUGAUUAUUUAAGUUGCAAGACAAAUAUAAUGUUUAAUCUAUUAUGUGUGUAUAAGAAAAUAAAUUGGAUGCAAUUAUAUUAAUGGUGUUAUUUUGGCAUAUUUCUAUUUGAAAUAAUUUAGCAAAUAAUAAAUAUUUAAUUUUAUAAUAUUAUUGGCCAAGUUAGACUUGCAUGAUUUAAAAAAUUUUGAGAAUACUAAACUUAUGUAUUAUGUAAAAUAUUUUUCAUGGACUUGAAUGUUUUAAAAGAUAUUACCCUUCAAUAUGGUUGUAAGGUUAUUAUUAUUUAAACUUAUCUAUCAUCUUGUGUAGACAACAUUUUUCAUGGAGAAAUUUUUUUAUAUAACUGAUUAUUAUUAUUAUUUAUCUUGUGUGGAUAACAUUUUUUAUGGACUUGAUUAUUGUUAUUAUAUAUAUAUAUAUAUAAAUUUAUCUAUUAUCAUCUUGUGUGAACAAUUUUUUUCAUGGAUUUGAUGUUUUAAAAGAUAUUACACCUUUAAUAUGGUUGUAAGGUUUUUAUUAUUAUACCUUUUUCUAUGGGUCAUGCACAGUGGGAUAGACCCAAGUCAAGUUUAUAUAAAAUUUUGAAUUUUUUAUUGUAGGAAAUUAAUUUCAUUUUCCUAUAAGCCAAGUAAAAAAAAAACAAGACUUAUCAAGUCUAUUUUUUUAUGCUUAAGAGAUAAGAAGACUUAGAAAAUGUUUUCUAUGGGUGAUGCACAAUGAGAGAAAUCAAGGCUAUAUAAAAUUUUGAAUUUUUCAAUAUAGAAAAUUAAUUUGGUUUUCUUUUAAGCCAAAAAAGGAAAAUAGAAAAAAGAAAAAAAGAAAACAAGAUUUAUCAAAUCUAUUUUUUUAUGCUUGAGAGAUAAGAACACAUAGAAAAUGGGAUUCAAUCAAAUGACCCCAAUUAUUGAAGGUAAAUUUCCUUGUUACUCAUUUUAACCUUUUCUUUAAGAGAUUAUCCAUGAUUUUGUUAAACCUUUAAUUUUGUAAGACUCGUAAUUAACAUAUUGGGUGGUUUUCUAAGUGGUAAAUCACAUAUGAUUGGUUUUACACAAUGUUUUUACAAUUGGAUCGGUAAUUGAACCGGAAAAGUUACCGGUUCAUGGUUCAUUGGUCAAAUCAAUGGUUGAACCGCGGUCGAAUCAGUGGUUGAACCGCAAUCUAAUCGACGGUUGAACUGCAGUCCAAUCGACGGCUGAACCGCGGUCAAAUCGGAGGUUAAACUGUGAUCGUACCGAUGAUCGAAUGGUAGUCGAACCGGUGAUGUCAUAAAUACAUAUUUUAUAUAUUAUUAAAAUAAAAAAUAAAAAAUAAAAAUGGAAAUGAUUCAAAUUUUAAUUGCAAUAAAUAAAUCAACAAAAAUUUCAAUAAAUUGAACUUUCAAUAUGCAAUAAAUAAAUGAAGGAUAACAAAUUUUGAUCAACAAAAAUUAUAAAUCUACAAAAAAUUAAAACAUUAAAUAUUAAACAUAAAAUAUAAAAAUAUUAAAUAUUAAAGUUCAAAAAUAAAAACUUAAAGUAUUAAACUAAUAAAUGGAUUUGAGCCACAACUAACAGCUAACCACCACAAAAAAUGGAUUUGUUGCAAAAAGUGUGGCUGGGCCGGGAGUUGGAGCAAGGAGAGGCCGGGACGGUUGGGGGGAAGAAUUUAAAAGGGUUGAAUCGUCCGAUUUGGAGGGAAUUGACCAGUUUGUCUGGUUCUCCGGUCCGAUGCUAGUUCAACCCUUGGCCGACUCAACUCAUCGGACCAAAUUGGAAUUGUCACCGGCCUGUUUGGUCCGGUUUUUAAAACCAUGUUUCUACAUCAAUUAUGAAAAAAACUAGUAAAUAUUUUUAUUAUUUUCUAAGUGGCCAAAACUUUCCAUUAACUUACCUAUGUAAGUGACGUGAAAGAAAUUUUGCCUACCCUAGUAACUAUCCCAUGUGAAUAAAGUUUCACUGAAAUUUCAUAUCAAUAUUUAUUUACUAGAUUUAGCAUCUUGUGAUUGAAAUAAUAGUUUUUGGAAAUUUUAAGUUUUGAGUAUUAGAUGAGAAGAUUUUAAAUUCUUGCUUUUAUUUUUUUUCUAAUAUUCAUUUAAUAUGAUGUAAAACUUUUUAAUGAUUAUAAAAAGUUUUGCAAAACAAGAUUCAAAAGUAACAUCUAUCUUUAAACCUUAAAUAGUGUUUUUUAAAGACUAUUUUUCACCAUUUUUAUAAACUGAAAAACUAAUAAUAAUCUUUUCUCCUCAAAAGCACUCCUUUUACAUUGUAAGACAAAACUAAUGAGCUAAUUUAUAAGCACAUUUUUAAUCAAGCAUAUAAUUGUUAAUAUACAUUUAUCUAUUUUAAUAUUUAUGAAAAAAAAUUAUUAUUUAAUAUGUAAAAGAACUUAAAUUCAAAAAUAAUUUUCUUAAGGUUUUUCUAUAAACAUAUCACAUUCCAAACACAACCCUCAGAGUUAGAGGAGUAUUUAAGUUUAAAAUAUUACUUGAUUUAGAAUCUAUUUAUUUACUGAGAAAAAUUGAAAAAUAUAGCUAUAUGCAAAGGAGAAAUAGGUGAAUCAAAAUUCAUUUUAGGUCAGCUUUGGUCUAUUUUUUCUAGUACAACUCAUUUUGAACUAGUUUUCAUCUAUUAUUUUUUGGUACUUACUAGGUAUAUUUUGAUUUUCAGUUAUAAAAAUUAUUAUACUCACUAACAAAUUAAACACAAGUCUUACUUCAUUUGAAGUCCAUUUAUUUAGUAAGCAAAUUAAUAAAAUUAUAGUUAUAUGCAUAGAAGAAACAAGAGUCAUUUUAAACUAAAGUCCAUGAAUUUCUUGUGGUGAUUGAGUUGUUUUUUGAAUCCCAAAUUCCUUCUUGAAAGUAAUAAGCUUUUUAAAAAAUCAAAGUAAGUAUUACUUGAUUUGAAGUCUAUUUGUCUAGUAAAAAAGAAAAAGGAAAAAGAAAAUUAUAGUCCUACAUAGAAAAUAAACAAUAGAGUUAUUAUAGACCAAUUUUUGUCUAUAAAUUUAUGUUAUUAAUUGAGUCAGUAUAUGAGUUUGAAAUUAUUAAAUUCAAUAAAGGAUUGAAACAUUAGGUCUAGCUAGGUUUAUUUUUAUUUUCCUAGUAAAAAAAUUCAAAAAAAUAUAGUUAUGUGUAAUAAAGAAACUAGAAAAGUUAUUCAUAAUAAUUUUUCUUUCAUGAUUUUUUUUUAAUAUUAAUUGGAUUAGCUUUGAGUUUGAUGACUGUUUAGUAUUAACUGGAUAUAUUUUGAGUUUUAAAUUAUUUUUGAAAACGAAUAAAUCCUAUAUUUUAAUAUUACUUGAUUUGGAAUCUAUUUGCUUGAUAAAAUUUUUUAGAUAAGUUAAAGAAAAAAAAAAUGUGUUAUUUAGAAAAGAUCAUAUUUGAUGAUUUUUGGUAUGGUUGGUGAAAAGAAAUGAAAAAAAGAAAGAGAUCGUGUUUACCUUAUUUGUUUUUAUGAUUGUUUUAAAUUAUUUUUAUUUCUUUAUGUUUUCUUUUGCUUUUAAAAACAAGUGAACAAAAUUUUUAUUUGUUUUUUGGAAAUUGUUCUCUAUUUAACUUUGGUUUUAAAAAUUGUUUUCAAACAAAAAGGCCAAAUAAUGCUAUAAAUUUCUAAAUUACACCACCAAACAACCUUAUGGAUUUAAUACUAUUUUUGUAUGCUAAAUGACCUAAGCUCUUAACUUAUUCCUAAUACCUUGAUUUACAUUUUUUGUUUCCUCUAGUUAAGAUUUUUUAGCAUUUAGAAUGAGUAUAAUUUUUUUAAUUCAUAAAUGAAUUUUUAUGUUUAUCUUAAUCUUAUUGACCUUGACUUAGUGCCAAGUCAUGGUCUUUCUAUCCACACCUUUUUAUUUUCUUUUUUUCUUUUUUUUCCUUUUUGUUCAAGUCAAGGUCUUCAAUCAAGGCACUUGGUUUUUGUGGUAAGGCAAAGACUCAAGUCAUUUUCCACUCAAUUAGAAUUUAAUAUGAUACAACUCAAAUAAUACUAAAAACAAAAAGAAGUGAAGCUAUCAUUGUCACUGCUUUAAACCACCUUCUAUAUAUUUUGUUGAAUUGAAAAUGCAAGGGAAACAAGAAAGAAGUUUUAGGUAAGGAACUGAUAUUGAUAAAUUAUUUUUAAUAUGCUUUUCUAUCUAAUCCUUCUAACUCUAAGUGAUUUCAGUUCUUGCCAGUCAAAGUAAGGUUGAUCUUUGAGAUGAUUAUAAUUGUUUUUCUUAAUAUAUAUUUACAUAUGUUAUUAGUAGAUCUUUUUAGAUUGGUGACGUUUGUUAAAUGUGUUGUUUAAAGUAAGUUCUUCAUGUUGUGCAAUUGUCUUUUAGAUUUUUCCAGUGUUUUCAUUUUUAUGUUGGAAAUAAAAUUUCAAUUCAAUUCAAGAAAAUGCUGACUACAUAUUGGAAUUCAAUUUUUACAGGUGCUCCUUACUAGAGAAUUGAAUAUUUACAUGGAGAAAAUUUCAAUUCUUGGUUUCAUUUUAGCUAUUCUCUAUCUCAUAACAACAGAACUUGCAUGUAAUGGUCAUACCCGUAUCGACAACAAUGUUCAAUCUGAACAAAAGGCUCUUAUUGACUUCAAAAAGUGGUCUCAAAGAUCCCAACAAUCGGCUUUCAUCAUGGAAAGGAAGCAAUUAUUGCUCAUGGCAAGAAUUAGUUGCGAAAAUGGCACAGGAUUUGUCAUUUCAAUUGAUCUUCNNNNNNNNNNNNNNNNNNNNNNNNNNNNNNNNNNNNNNNNNNNNNNNNNNNNNNNNNNNNNNNNNNNNNNNNNNNNNNNNNNNNNNNNNNNNNNNNNNNNGGUUAAGAUUUUUUAGCGUUUAGAAUGAGUAUUAAUUUUUUUAAUUCAUAAAUGAAUUUUUAUGUUUAUCUUAAUCUUAUUGACCUUGACUUAGUGCCAAGUCAUGGUCUUUCUAUCCACACCUUUUUAUUUUCUUUUUUUCUUUUUUUUUCCUUUUUGUUCAAGUCAAGGUCUUCAAUCAAGGCACUUGGUUUUUGUGGUAAGGCAAAGACUCAAGUCAUUUUCCACUCAAUUAGAAUUUAAUAUGAUACAACUCAAAUAAAACUAAAAACAAAAAGAAGUGAAGCUAUCAUUGUCACUGCUUUAAACCACCUUCUAUAUAUUUUGUUGAAUUGAAAAUGCAAGGGAAACAAGAAAGAAGUUUUAGGUAAGGAACUGAUAUUGAUAAAUUAUUUUUAAUAUGCUUUUCUAUCUAAUCCUUCUAACUCUAAGUGAUUUCAGUUCUCGCCAGUCAAAGUAAGGUUGAUCUUUAAGAUGAUUAUAAUUGUUUUUCUUAAUAUAUAUUUACAUAUGUUAUUAGUAGAUCUUUUUAGAUUGGUGACGUUUGUUAAAUGUGUUGUUUAAAGUAAGUUCUUCAUGUUGUGCAAUUGUCUUUUAGAUUUUUCCAGUGUUUUCAUUUUUAUGUUGGAAAUAAAAUUUCAAUUCAAUUCAAGAAAAUGCUGACUACAUAUUGGAAUUCAAUUUUUACAGGUGCUCCUUACUAGAGAAUUGAAUAUUUACAUGGAGAAAAUUUCAAUUCUUGGUUUCAUUUUAGCUAUUCUCUAUCUCAUAACAACAGAACUUGCAUGUAAUGGUCAUACCCGUAUCGACAACAAUGUUCAAUCUGAACAAAAGGCUCUUAUUGACUUCAAAAGUGGUCUCAAAGAUCCCAACAAUCGGCUUUCAUCAUGGAAAGGAAGCAAUUAUUGCUCAUGGCAAGGAAUUAGUUGCGAAAAUGGCACAGGAUUUGUCAUUUCAAUUGAUCUUCAUAACCCUUAUCCUCGUGAGAAUGUAUAUGAGAAUUGGAGCUCUAUGAACUUAAGUGGAGAAAUUAGUCCUUCAUUGAUAAAACUCAAGUCUUUGAAAUAUCUAGAUUUGAGUUUCAACUCAUUCAAAGCCAUGCCAGUUCCUCAAUUCUUUGGGUCUCUGGAGAAUUUAAUAUAUCUAAACUUAUCAGGUGCUGGGUUUAGUGGAUCAAUUCCUUCAAAUUUAAGGAAUCUUUCUAGCUUGCAAUAUCUCGAUCUUUCUAGCUUGUAAUAUGUCGAUCUUUCUUCUGAGUAUCUUUACGAUAUUGAUUCAGAGUAUCUUGACUAUAUUUAUUCUGAAUAUUUUAAUAAUUUAUUUGUUGAAAAUAUUGAAUGGAUGACUGGCCUUGUUUCCUUGAAGUAUCUUGGUAUGAAUUAUGUUAACCUUUCAUUGGUAGGAAGUCGGUGGGUUGAGGUGGCAAACAAGCUUCCAAGUUUAACUGAGUUGCAUCUAGGUGGUUGUGGCCUCUUUGGCUCAUUUCCAUCUCCAAGCUUUAUUAAUUUUUCUUCACUUGCUGUUAUAGCUAUCAACUCCAACGACUUCAAUUCCAAGUUUCCUGACUGGCUUUUAAAUGUCAGCAACCUUGUAUCCAUUGAUAUAAGUGACAAUAAAUUAUAUGGGAGAAUUCCACUUGGUCUUGGUGAGCUACCCAAUUUGCAAUACUUAGAUCUAUCUUCUUCGAUUUAUCUAUUUUCAGAUUUCCAUCUCAGGGGCAGUAUCUCUCAACUGUUGAGGAAGAGUUGGAAAAAGAUAGAAGUUCUAAAGUUGGAUGGAAAUGAAUUACAUGGUAAAUUUUUUGUGUUAUUAGAAAAAUUGAUUUUUCUUUGUUGAUAUGUUAAUGUGUAGAUAAAUAUAGUUCACAAUUGUGUAUAUGAGUGUUGAAUAUGUAUCAAUAUACAAAUAUCAAAUAAUCACUAUAUUUUGUUCAAUUGUUGGAAACAAAAAUCUUCUUAUUAAAAAAAAUAUUAUUUUGAAUUCUAAAUUUCUUAGAAGGAAAUUUAGUUUUUUUUUUAUCUAAAAAAAAGUAUGUAGUUUAACAAUUUAUGCUUGUGAAGUAUCUAUGUUAUCUAACAAUUUUUGUAUGAAGGUAAGUAAUUACAAAAAGUGUUUGUCUACAUAACUAUUAAAAAGAAUUGCAUCUUAUAGGAGUAUGAUUUUUUUUAAUCCUUAACUUCCUUUUUUACUUUAAAUUAGUUGAUGAAUGAUUUAUUAUUUUCGAUUGUCAAUAAUUAUAUAUUUGUUAUAUUAAUUAUUUUUUGAAUGUUUUCAUUUCAUUUUGACAUAACUCUUUUUUUUUUUUCAAUUUGUUUUGCUUUUGAGGAUAAUAAUUUGAGCAUGUACUAAAUGGAAUAUUUAUAUGAUGGUUGAAUUGAUAUAUGAUGUGCUUUGUCACUUAUGUUUUAAUAUUUUACUAAUUUUAGUUAUUAAAUGUUUUCCAUUUUUUACUCUCAUGGUAUACCUUCUUUUAAACUAUUCUAUUAAAAUUUUAUUCUAAAUUGUUAUGUUUAUUUAAAGUACUUCUUGUUCCUAUAAAAUUCAAAUAAUUAUAAUUUACUAUUCACUUAUAUUUGAAAAGCUUGUAACUAAUAAAUUAAAAAAUCACAUUGUAUUAAAAUUUAAAAAUUUACUUUCUGUAUCUCCAAAAAGAAUUAAAUUCCUAUUUUGACAAUUUAUGUUUGUUAAGAAUCUUUAUCAUCAAAUACCCUUCAAUCAUCUCCUACAUAUUUUCAAUUUCCAUUUUCUCUCACUAAUUCAUCUAUUAUAUCAAAAUAUUAUACUAGGUUGAACUCCUACUUUUCUCUAGCUUUGUUCUUUAAUGGUACGUUCUACUUUCAAAAUAUUAUAGCUUUGCAGAUAGGAGUAAUUUUCUAUUAAAAUUUUCUAGGAGUUUGUAAAUAAAUAGAAUAACCACUUGGAAUUAAAAUAAUUGUUGAGAAAAACAUUUUUUUUUUGCAUUGCUAAAAUACAAAUGAUAUUUUUGGUAACUUGGAUCUAUUAAAAAAAGAAAAAUGUAAUUACCUUCUCAAUCUUUUGGUUUAUAUUUUCAUUUUCUAUAUUUUCUCAUUGAACUAUCACUUUGUUCAAAUUAUUUUCGUUUAUUGUUAAAGAAACAAUUAAUGUCAAUGAUUAAUCCUACUAGUCUUAUAACAGUGAAAUCAAUUACUUUAUUUCAUGGUUAUCAGAAAAGAAAAAAAAAGUACCUAAAAAAAAUCUAAUAUUUUUUGUUACUUUUUCUUUAAAGUAAUUGUUCAUGAAUUAAUUUGUUUUGUUAUUUACUAUUUUUAUUAUUUGUUUGUUACAUAAUUUUAAUUAAUACAUAUUUUUAUUCUUGGUCAUUGCAGGUUCAAUUCCAAGCUCCAUUGGAAACUUUUGCAACUUAAAAUAUCUGGAUUUGAGUUUUAAUCUCUUGAAUGGAAGUUUACCUGAGAUUAUCAAAGGACUUGAAACCUGCAGUUCUAAAAGUCCUUUGCCUAAUUUGACAAAAUUGUCCUUGUACAACAAUCAAUUGAUGGGAAAAUUGCCGAAUUGGUUGGGUGAGCUUAAAAAUCUCAAGGCACUCGAUUUAUCCAAUAACAAAUUUGAAGGUCCCAUCCCUGCUUCUUUGGGGACAUUGCAACACUUGGAGUUUCUGUCUCUUUUGAAGAAUGAGCUGAAUGGAAGUCUCCCAGAUAGUAUUGGACAACUUUCUCAACUGCAAUACUUGGAUGUUUCUUCCAAUCAUUUGAGUGGAAGUCUCCCGGAUAGUAUUGGACAACUUUCUCAACUGCAACACUUGAUUGUUUAUUCCAAUCAUUUGAGUGGAAGUCUCCCAGAUAGUAUUGGACAACUUUCUCAACUGCAAGACUUGGAUGUUUAUUCCAAUCAUUUGAGUGGAAGUCUCCCAGAUAGUAUUAGACAACUUUCUCAACUGGAACAAUUGGAUGUUUCUUCCAAUCAUUUGAGUGGAAGUCUCCCGGAUAGUAUUGGACAACUUUCUCAACUGCAACGCUUGCAGGUUUCUUCCAAUUAUUUGAGUGGAAGUCUCCCGGAUAGUAUUGGACAACUUUCUCAACUGCAAGGCUUGCAUGUUUCUUCCAAUCAUUUGAGUGGAAGUCUCCCGGAUAGUAUUGGACAACUUUCUCAACUGGAACAAUUGGAUGUUUCUUCCAAUCAUUUGAGUGGAAGUCUCUCUGAACAACAUUUUUUGAAGCUGAGUAAGUUGGAGAAUCUAUAUAUGGGCUCCAAUUCUUUCCAUUUAAAUGUUAGUCCUAAUUGGGUUCCCCUUUUCCAGGUGGAUGAACUUGAUAUGUGUUCAUGCCACUUGGGUCCUUCAUUUUCGGCUUGGCUUCAAUCUCAAAAGAACCUCAACUUUCUUGAUUUCUCAAAUGGCAGCAUUUCAAGUCCUAUUCCAAACUGGUUUGGGAAUAUUUCUUUGAAUCUGCAACGGUUGAAUCUUUCUCACAAUCAGUUACAAGGUCAGCUACCAAAUUCAUUAAAUUUUUAUGGUUUAUCAGAGAUUGAUUUCAGUUCCAACCUCUUUGAAGGACCUAUUCCUUUUUCAAUCAAAGGGGUCGAUAUUCUAGAUCUCUCCUAUAAUAAAUUUUAUGGCUUUUUUCCAUCGAGUAGAGGUGAAUCCGUGUCAAGCUUGUCUUAUCUUUCUCUUUCAAGUAAUCAAAUAACAGGGGCCAUCCCAUCAAACAUAGGUGAAUUCCUACCCAGCUUGCAGUUCCUUUCUCUUUCGGGUAAUCGAAUAACAGGGACCAUCCCAGAUUCCAUAGGACGCAUCACCAAUCUUGAAGUCAUUGAUUUUUCAAGGAAUAAUUUGACUGGAAGCAUUCCUUCUACCAUAAAUAAUUGCUCUAACCUUUUUGUGUUAGACCUUGGAAACAACAAUCUGUUUGGGAUAAUACCGAAGUCGUUGGGCCAGUUACAAUCGCUCCAAUCACUGCACUUGAACCACAACGAGCUUUCAGGAGAGCUCCCCUCAUCUUUCCAAAAUUUAACAGGCUUGGAAGUUCUUGAUCUUAGUUACAACAAAUUGUUGGGUGAGGUUCCUGCAUGGAUUGGAGUUGCUUUCGUAAAUCUGGUAAUACUCAACUUGAGGUCGAAUGUGUUUUGUGGAAGACUUCCCUCCCAGCUUUCAAAUUUAAGCUCCCUGCAUGUCUUAGACAUUGCACAAAACAAUCUGAUGGGUAAAAUUCCAAUCACUUUGGUUGAGCUUAAAGCCAUGGCUCAAGAGCAUAACAUGAUCAAUAUAUAUCCUUCGUUUCAAAAAGAGGGACUCUCCUGGUAUAAAGAACUAUUGGUUGUGAUUACCAAAGGCCAAAGUCUUGAAUAUACCAGGACUCUUUCUCUUGUUGUAGGCAUUGACCUAUCCAACAAUAAUUUAAGUGGAGAGUUUCCCCAAGAAAUAACAAAAUUGUUUGGUUUGGUGGUUUUGAACUUGUCGAGGAAUCACAUUACUGGCCAAAUUCCUGAAAGCAUUUCAAUGUUGCGACAAUUGUUAUCUCUUGAUUUGUCAAGCAAUAAGCUUUCCGACAGCAUUCCUUCAAGCAUGGCCUCAUUAUCAUUCUUGAGUUAUUUGAAUCUAUCAAAUAACAAUUUCUCUGGUAAGAUCCCCUUUACAGGGCAAAUGACAACCUUCACCGAGCUGGCCUUUGUGGGAAACCCUGAUCUAUGUGGAGCUCCAUUGGCCACAAAAUGCCAGGAUGAAGAUCCAAAUAAAAGGCAAAGUGUUGUUAGUGACAAAAAUGAUGGUGGCUAUGUUGAUCAAUGGUUUUACUUGAGCGUUGGCUUGGGAUUUGCCAUGGGCAUCCUAGUUCCAUUUUUUGUUUUGGCAACAAGGAAAUCUUGGUGUGAGGCCUAUUUUGAUUUUGUGGAUGAGAUUGUCAGAUGGUUGUUGAGAGGAAGAGCAACCUAUGCCAAAAAUCAUCCUAGAAGGCGAUAAAUUUUAUUUGUAGAUCUUUCUAUGCUUUAUGUAUCAUUAUAAGCUUUGGAAGUGAAUUUCAUCACAGUUGCAAUAGAAGAAAAGACUUAGCUUUUAAUUUAUUUUAACUUCAGAACAUAUCCUUUGUUUAUAAUCUGCAGUGUUUUGGCAUUGUCGGAAGGCUUAGAAAAGAACUUGACACCUCUUAUUCAUUCUACAUUCAGAAGUCUUGCUUAUCAUAUUUCCUAGCUCCUUAUCAAUCAUUAAAUUCCUUGUACAACCAAAUAUUGUGAAAUUCUGCAUGAACAUAACCAAAGAGAAGUGAAAAAACAGUUGUUUCUGAAUUUUCACUGAAAGCAAAUACAUCUUAUCAUACCCUAUUCAAGUUCUAAAGCAAUAUAGAUCGUAGAUGAUUUCCAGAUACCCCUGUGCCACCAACACAACACAAAUAUAUAAAUAAAAACAAAUUAAUUAACCAAGAAUGGGUAAAAUCCACACAAUGGCCUUUAUUUAAUUACUGAAACAUGAAUAUAUAAACAAUUCAGCCUGGUCAUGCCCACCACUUUGAAUUGGCCAAUUAACUUAGCAAUUUGGGAGUGGGGAAAUCAUUUGCCUUAGUUGUAGAAUGCAUCAUUUUGCCUUGUAAAUUGAGAGAAAAAGUAACCUAUCUCACCAAUAUAAGAUAGGAAUUCCAACCUUAGUAAAUAUCGGUAACAAUCCAACCAUUUAUGCUAUUAGUGGAUCAACAAUGUAUGUUAGGCCAAUUAAUACUUAUGAUAAUUGUGGUGAGGUUCAAACCUAAGACCCCUCAAAAGCCAAAGAUUCAACACCAUUUUAAACUACAAAUUUAACUCAAAAGUUUAAACAACAUGGUACUCACCAAUAAGACAUAUUAACGUAAUUUUGUAGGGUUAAUAGACUUAAUUAAUAGCAAAAGCAAAAGCAAGAAAAUCCUUUGGUGGGACUUCCAUUUGCAUCCACCAUGUGAUGUGGGCAUCGACAGUGGUCGAGCAUCCACCCAAAUCGCACAGCCCAAGCCACCAUCUAGCAACUACAAAUACAUCCAAAGAAGCAUACCUCUCCCAACCCACAAAAUGUAAAUUGUUGGGACACAUUGAUAAAUUUGAUACUUCACAAUUCCAACCAAAGGAGAAAAUGGGGCACCGACGAAACCACAUAAGAAAUCAAAUCAAAUGAUUUCCCUAAAACCCAAAAGCGACAUUCUCGAUCACUUUUUGGGUUGACAACAACUUGAAGUAACUACCAGUCUCAUCUGCUAAUACACAUUUUUGGGUAAUAUUUAGUUAUCAAUUUGGAGCCGCUUUCUUGGUUUUGAACCCCAUAAAAAACCACUCAAGACAAACCCAAAUUAAAUAAUUCAGGUUUCUACAUAAGGGGUUGUUAAUACUAUUUUAAAAAAACCCUAAUUCUGCAAUGAAAGUGAAAUGAGAAAAUUGAAAAUUUGACAACAAAUUCCUAAAGAAAAGCGAAAAUGGAAGUGGGUAUGGUGCAUUGAGACAAGAAAGUUUAGAAUUUUGAAGACUUUCGGAGAAAUGCACAUGCUAUUGAUUUUUAAGUUCAAUUUUGAGAAUAAUUCACUCUAAGUAACCACAAACAAUGAGAAUAAAAUGAUACCAUUUCUAUGUACUUUACAAACACAUCCAUGUUGAUAAAUAUAUUUAUCUAUUCUUUUUUUUUUUUCAAUUUUUUAUCUUUCAUUAGAAGUUUGUGAAAUUGUUAAUUUUUUAGAUAAACAUUUGAACAAUAUUUUUUCAUUAAAAAUGAAUAUUAAUAUCUGAAAAUUUUUAACUAUAAAUUAUAAUAUUAUACUUAUAUUUUUAUUUACUUUAAAACAAAUACUACAUUAUAAGAAAUAAAUACAAAAUAAAUGGAUAAUAAUUGUUUCUAUAAAUAACUUAAUGAUAACUUUUCAUAUAUAAUAAAAAUAUAAAUUAUGUAUUUUUUUUGUUAAGAAAAUGGUAAUCUUUUAAUAAAAAUAAUAAAAAUAGAUAUUAAUAUUUUAAUAAAUCAAUAAAAUUGUAUUUAUUUGUUAAGUUUUAAAAUUUGUAGAUUUAUUAAAAUAUUAGUAAAAUAAAAUUUAUAAAUUUAUUGAAAUAUAUUCAUCAUUAUCAUAUUUGAUAUAUAAAAUAAGGAGUGAGAAUGAACACCUCAUUCAUUAUCAUGUUUGGAAUGAGAAUGAAAUAAAAAAUGAUUCUAACAAAUAAAGGAAUUUCUAUAAAUUAUUUAAAAAAAACACUUUUCUAAUAGUAAAAAAUAAAAAAACUGAUUUAUAUAAGUUGUUUUUAAAAAUAAUUUUUUUAAUUUUGAUUUUUAAAAUUUAAUUUAUAUAAUAUAAAUGAAAUUUAAUUCAAUUCUUAUUACAAAUAAAAAGAAAAAUUAUGAUUGAAUUAAAAAUAAAUAGUUUUUAAUAAAAUAUAAAAAUAAAUUAAAAAUAAUUCAACUCUUUUCCUGGGCUAGGCCAGCCUUUUGGGCUCUCUUAUGGGUCCUAUCUCUGGGCCUAAUUUCUGGGCCAAUUUUGGGCCUCCCUUUUUUAACAUAUAUAAUUUUUCUGAAGCCUUUUUUGCCUCCUUAAAGGGACCAUUUUCUGGCAACUUUGGGGCAUUUGAAUUUUUAUUUUAUUUAAUUUUUUUCCUAAUAUUUUAGCUAUGAAUUAUAAUAUUUUAGAACUUCACACAAAUAUUUAUCUACUUAAAAAAAGAAUAUUAAAUUAUAAGAAAUAAAUAAAAAAUAAAUAAAAAAUAAAUAUUUCAAUAAACCACAUCAUGAUAAAUUUCAUACAUAACAAAAAAUAUAAAUUAUGUAUUUUUUUUUUAUAAAAAAAAGAUGAUAAUAUUUUAGUGAAAGUUAUAAAAGAUAAAUUAAUAUAAGAAGUUGUUAACCUUAUUUUUAGGGUGAGGAGUGAUCUUAAAGACAACAUUAAUGGGCUUAAAAGCGGGCUUCUGCUCCUCAAUUGAAGCUACCACAUGGCACCAUGUUAUAAGCCAACAACCCUCCCCUCACCCACACGGGCCACACCCAACCGAAACCCACCCCACAUGAUACCCAACCGAAUAAAAAAUGGACUGGGCCUAAUUUUGGCUCAUUUUCCUGGGCUUGAUAGUUUGUCCAUUUUCCUGUCUUUUAGGCCCUCUUAUGGGUCCCAUCCCCUGGCCCAAUUUUGGACCUCACUUUUUUUAUAAAGCCUUUUUUUUGUCCUUAAAGGGACCAUUUUUUUGGCCCCUUUCUGGGCAACUUUUGGGUCGUUUGAAUUUUUAUUUUAUUUUCUUUUUUCUGAAACCAGUUUUUCCUCUCUGCAAGGGCCUAAUUUAUGGGCCCAAUAUAUGGGCCUUUUUUUUUUGGUUUUUCCUUCUCCAUUUUAACUUCCUAACUUUCAAAACCCAUAAUUUUGAAUGAGUCAUGGUCUUUUGAUUAUUUAUUUAUUUAUUUAAUUUUGAAAGAUGUUGUUGUAGUAUGUGGCUCAUAUUUGAGCGAAAAGACAUAUGGAGAAAAAGGGGUAAAUGCAGGAGCGAAGUGAUAGCAUUCAUCAUUUAGGCUUGUAUUUCUUUUGUUGUAGGCGAACGAUAGGUUGGGGGUGCAGGGGGCAACACCCCCGCGGUAUCGUUCAGGGGUAUUUUUGGAAUUUCAUUACUUAAGGGUUAGUAUAAAUACCCUUUUAUGUAACCUUAAUUUGAUACAUAGUGAAAAUCAUCUUUUCUUGUUCCCAUGGAUGUAGGUAAUUAGUUGAACCACGUUAAAUUUACGUGUUUUUCUUUUUUGUUUUUCUAUUUGUCAUCAUUAAUCGUUGCACGGAUUCCAAUAGAUGUUUUACUUGGGCACAAUUUAGUUUUUUGACUUGAUAACGUGAUCAACAUUACAUAGAGAAGUUCUAUUAUCAUAGGCCAUAAUCAAACAACAUAAUCUACAUUUCAUACAAAAUUGACAGAUCAUAAAAGAGUACAAACUAUUCUAAUAUAAUUUUAAAGUAGUUAUUUAUUAUCCAUAUGACUAUUUGACUUGACAAACUUUACAAUGUGGUCUACACUUUAUUCGAAAUAAACAUUCUUUAUUGUGGAUGAUAAUCAAGAAAAAAAUUGAUUAUUAUGAUUUAAUUUUAAAUGGUUAAUCAUUGUCCAUGAUUAAAUCUAGGCAAAUUAAGUUACUAGAUAUUUCACUCUUACUCUUACUCAUUGUCUAUGAUUAAAUCUCAGCCAGAAUCACAUCCCGUUUUAGAGCCAGUUCCAUUUGUCAUUUCUCCGACUCUUACUCCUCCCAUCCAUGGGAAUUAAGUUUGAGACACCAACCAAUAGAGCCACUUUCAUACAUGUAAAACCCGUCUUUAAUAUUGUUGAAACCAUCCAAAGCUGACAGGUUGAUUCAAAGAGACCAAACUUUUGCCAUCCAUGGGAAAAGGAUUCCAAAUAUAAAAAUCGGCAUUAAUGUUUCCAAACAACUUUGUCGUGGUUCAAUAAUAAAUAGAAACAUAUCCAUCCUAUAAGUCUGAUAAAUCUUUUUAUUUUUUAUAGGGAACAAGGAGAUGUAUUAAUAUAAAGGAGAAAAAAGGUCCAUGAACUAAACCAAAGGGAAAGUCAAGCAUCAUCAUUAUUACCUGUACAUGUAAAUUUGAAGAUUUUUCUUGGACCCUUAUUACCAAUCUUCUACCUUUGAUAUGAGACAAGUAGGGCCUGCAGGCUCAUCCAAUUCAAAGGUCAUCUAUCGAAUCCUAGGGUAUUCUUAGCGAUGAGUUUCUCUAUCUAAUGCCUUUGAAAUUCUCUCUACCUUGGAUGUUUUGAUCUACCACAAUCAUCAAAAGUAGAUUUGCUUCUAAAAUUCUCUUGCAGGUAAUUUCUAUUCUAUGGAUAUUUUGAUCUGGGUGAGGUGAUUCGAAUUAUUUUUUCUUAACAUGCAUAGAAGGAUGAUGCACAAGUACUUGACAAUUUUUCUUAUCUAAUUAGAUUGAUGAUCUUUCUUACAUGUGUUAUUGAGUGUCUUGAUGCAUUUGUCUUCUUUUUAUUAGUAUAUGGUGUUGAGGCCUUGCGUCCCGAUAAUCCACGUAGCUGCCAAGUGGACGCACGCUUUCAACCAAGAUUGAGUUCUGGUUCAGUUGCCCCUGCAAAAGAUGUCCGGACAGGGUGUCCGGACACACCCUCCGAUGGUUUUGUCAACCAUGGUUAGAGAGAUUAAUCAGUUGACCUUUUACUAGGUAUAGCAAGUUUACCUUCCUCCUUGUGUGAAGGUCCUUAUAUAUAGUAUUAGAAGCUUUGUCUCCCUCCUUAAUGGUAGGGAUACUUUUUGGCUUGUCAUGAUGCCUCUAGGUGGUGGCAGAGUCAUCAUCACCCUAUGGGCGACUGACAGAGAUCGUGGGAGGCGCCGCGACUAUCAGAGAUCGUGGGAGGUGACUUGCCAUCAUUCCUGUUUUUUCGCUCUGCAGGUGGCGGAACGUGGGCCGUGGCAGGUUGUCGGAAUGGCGUAGUAAGACUUGCUUACUUUAGUCAACGAUCCGGACAAUAUAUCCGGAUAGGAUAUGCUAUCAUCCGGAUGUGAUGCUCACGAGUGUCGUGUGCUUCUCCCUGAGGGAGUCCAGAUAGGGGAGCGUGCCACGUGUCCCUCUUUGGGGAGUCCGGAUGGAGUCGCUCCGGACAGUGAGGCGUGCCAUGUGUCAUCAGGGGAUGGGGUCUCUACAUAUGGGAAACAAAAUUUUUCUUCAAUUCAUGAAAAGAGAUAUAACAUGUUGCAAUUAAGUUUUUACAGGUGUUCAUAGUUGGUGAAUUGCAUAAUAAAUGGAGAGGAUUUCAAUUCCAGGUUUCCUUUUAGCUCUUCUCUAUUUAAGGGUGAGAGGAACAAUUGCUUAUAAGGAUGAAACUCAUUUGACAGAUUGCCUAGAAUCCGAUUGAGAAGCCCUUAUUGACUUAAAAAGCGAUCUCAAAUAUUCCAAAAAUCGAUUUUCAUCAUGGAAAGGAAGUAAUUGUUGUCAAUGGAAAGGGAUUAGUUGUGAAAAUAGUACCAGAAGUGUUAUUUCCGUAGAUCUUCAUAAUUCAUACUCUCCUUUGUAUGAAUUUGAGAAAAGGAGCUUAAUGAACUUGAGUGGGGAGAUUAGUUCUUCAUUGUUAAAACUCAAGUCCUUGAAACAUUUAGACUUGAGUUUCAACACAUUUGAAAGCAUCCUAAUUCCGGAAUUCUUUGGAUCUUUGAAGAAUUUACAAUAUCUAAACAUAUCAAAUGCAGGGUUUAGCGGUGUAAUCCCUCCAAAUUUGGGAAACCUCUCAAGGUUGCAGUAUCUUGAUCUUUCUUCUCAAUAUGGGAAUGGUCUAUCUACUGAUAAUUUUGAGUGGAUGAUUGGUCUUAUUUCCUUGAAGCAUCUCAAGAUGAACCAAGUCGACCUUUCAUUUGUUAGAUCAAAUUGGGUGGAUGUAUUAAACAAGCUUCCAUUUUUAACUGAGUUGCAUCUAUCUGAUUGUCGCCUCUCGGGUUCAGUUUCUCUAGCCUCAGUAGUUAAUUUUACUAUGCUUUCUGUUAUAUCCAUGAGGUAGAACUACCUUGAUUCAACAAUUUUGGAAUUGCUUGUAAAUAUCAGCAGCCUUACAUUCAUUGAUCUAAGCUACAACAGCUUAAACAGUAUUCCUCUUGGUCUCAAUCAGCUACCUAAUCUGCAAUACUUGAACCUGUAUGGCAAUGGAAAUCUUACUGGCAAUUGCUCUCAACAAUUGAGGGAAGGUUGGAAAAAGAUAGAGGUCCUCAUUUUGGCUUCAAAUAACUUUCAUGGUAAACUUCAAAUAACUUUCACUGCUCUUCCUUAAAUUUAUUGCUUAUGACUUUAUAAUUGGUAUAUAUUAUUAUACUAUUUGUUAAUAGAUGAAUUUUUUUUUCUUUUCUUUUUUUGUUCUUGGUGAUUGCAGGUAGCAUUCCUGACUCCAUUGGAAGCUUCUGCAACCUAAAAUAUUUGGACUUAGGCCAUAAUAACUUGACAGGAAGUUUACCUCAAUUUCUGGAAGGAAUGGAAAACUGCAGCUCUAAAAGUUAUUUGCCUUACUUGACUAAUUUGAUCCUGCCCAACAAUCAAUUAGUUGGCAAAUUAGCAGAUGGUUGGGACUGCUUGAAAAUCUCGUGACUAGACUGUCAUAUACAGUUUGANNNNNNNNNNNNNNNNNNNNNNNNNNNNNNNNNNNNNNNNNNNNNNNNNNNNNNNNNNNNNNNNNNNNNNNNNNNNNNNNNNNNNNNNNNNNNNNNNNNNCCUGCAACUUUAGGGUCAUUGCAACACUUGACAGAUAUGUGGCUUGGAACUAACCAACUGAAUGGGACUCUCCCAGAUAGUUUUGGACAGCUUUCUGAAUUACUUUACCUGGAAGUUUCUUUCAAUAGUUUGACAGGGAUUCUCUCUGCAGAGCAUUUCUCAAAGCUAAGUAAGUUGAAACACCUGUACAUGCAGUCCAAUUCAGGUUUUAAUUUGAAUGUAAAUUCCAGUUGGGUCCCCCCUUUCCAGAUCCGGGACCUUGCUUUUGGUUCAUGCAGUUUAGGUCCUUAUUUUCCAGCUUGGCUUCAGUCCCAAAAGGAGCUUGUGUCUCUUGAUUUCUCAAACACUAGCAUUUCAAGUCCCAUACCAAACUGGUUUUGGAAUCUUUCUUCUAAUUUAGAUUUCUUAAAUCUUUCUCUCAAUCACUUGCAUGGCCAGUUACCAAAUCCAUUAAAUGUUUCUCAAUAUGCAUUGAUUGAUUUCAGCUCCAACCUCUUUGAAGGACCUAUUCCUCUUCCAACCAAAACUAUUGAAUCACUAUAUUUCUCGAACAAUAAUUUUUCGGGUCCCAUCCCACCGAGCAUAGGUGAAUCCAUUCCAAGCUUGAGGGUCCUUUCUCUUUCGGGUAAUCAAAUAACAGGAGUCAUCCCAGCUUCUGUAGGAGAUAUAAGGGGUCUUGAUAUCAUUGAUCUUUCAUGGAAUAGUUUGACAGGAAGCAUUCCCUUAACCAUUAUCAAUUGCUCUUCCUUAAGAGUUCUAGACCUCGGAAACAAUGACUUGUCCGGGAGAAUUCCAGAACAGUUGGGUCAGUUAAAGUGGCUUCAAUCUCUUCACAUGGAAAACAACAACCUUUCAGGAGGGCUGCCCUUAUCUUUCCAAAAUUU